AAUGGAGCGAGCCGCGUUGCUUCGUUCUCUCUCUUGUACUUCCCUCGCUUCCAACAGAUUCUACUUUCGCUCUUUCGUACCUCGCGCCAAAUUUUCAUCAUCAUCAGUUGCUGUUGCGAGGAGGAAUCACCACCGUCUGAUCAACAACCUCACCAGGCGCUCCCUCCUCCGCGGCGACAGCAGAUUACACCUCUCCUUAUCCUCUUACUCUCUUCCAUUCAACAAACACUUCUCCUCUCUCUCUCCUAACGCCGUCGCCUCUCCUUCCACUCCCUCAUCUCCAGGUGCAAAUUUGUCGUUUCACUCUUUCUAAAUUUCAGCUCUUUUCCCGUUAUUUAUUUAAUUAAUCUCCUACGUUUAAUUAAGCAGUAAUUUUAUUGGUUCAUUGAAUGAUUACCGGCAAAAAAAAAAACACUUAUUUUCAAUUCUUGUAAAUUUGUGUUUGUUAAUCGUUAGAAAUGAUCUAUUAUUUGGAAAAAAAAAUUGAAACUCCUCUUUUAAGUUAUUGUGAUUGGUGUGUUGAAUUGAGCUCUGUGAUUGGUUUUCUUUGUGUGUGUAGAGGUUGCUGAAGUCAGCAAUGAAGUGGCGGAGAAGCUUGGAUUCGAGAAGGUUUCGGAAGAGUUCAUUGGAGAGUGUAAAUCAAAGGCUGUGCUUUUCAAGCACAAGAAAACCGGUGCUGAGGUCAUGUCUGUAUCCAACGAUGAUGAGAACAAGGUCUUCGGCAUUGUCUUUCGAACUCCUCCGUAAGUAUUGUAAAUGUACUCUGUCUCACUGUUUGAUAUCGUCUUUUUAUUUUCUCUUUUCAUUUUAUUUGAUUAUAUUAAUUUAAAUCAGAUACAUUGUUAGAUAUUAUCAUUGAAAUGCUAAGAAUACAAGAAAAUAAUUUUCAGGCAGUUAUAGUUUUCUGGACAACGAGACACCAUUGCCUCACGCCAUUCUCUUGUUUUAACACCAGUUGUCUAGUCAGGAAUAGGAUCCUUGCCCCAUUGCCUCACGCCAUUCUCUUGUUUUAACACCAGUUGUCUAGUCAGGAAUAGGAUCCUUGCCCCAUUGCCUCACGCCAUUCUCUUGUUUUAACACCAGUUGUCUAGUCAGGAAUAGGAUCCUUGCCCCAUUGCCUCACGCCAUUCUCUUGUUUUAACACCAGUUGUCUAGUCAGGAAUAGGAUCCUUGCCCCAGAAGGAUGGAUGAGUUAAAACAAUCCCAAUCGUCGAGAAUUUCUUGACAAUGUCUUACUCCCAUGUGGUGAGCUAUAUUAGCGCCAGAACUGUCACCAGCGAAAAACACUCUCUGAAAGUCAGCAUAAUGGUUAAGCCAAUCUUCCGGGCCAUCCCCAUCAACAUGGGAAGCAACCCAUUUGAUUGCAGUCCGUGAAUCGUCGUGAGCACAGGGGACCGGAUUCUUCGGGGCUCUCCGAUAAUCAACCGAGACUGCUAUGAUGUUAGCUUCAGAAACUAAGUUGUUGAGGUAAUUAUUGUAAGUAGAAGAACAGGCAGUGUGGACGCAGAAGCCUCCACCGUGAAAAUAAACCACAAGAAGAAGUUUUUGGUUUUGAUCUUUUGUGUUUUUCGGAAUGUAAAGACGAGCGGAUAGAGUAUUUUCAGGUAAAUACAAAACGUCUCUGGAAUCAACGUUUGUUUUUGGAUCAAAUGAUGGAGGAACGAUGUCAUUGCCCACAAGCCUCUCUAUUGUGCCAUCUUUGUAUAUUAUCAUCAUAGGAGAGAAAUCGUGGGCGAUUUCUGAUAAUGGCUCUGUGGAACCCAUUGAAGCAGAAAAUGUCGGCAGAGCGCCGGCAAGCCUGAAUUAGCCUUUCUAAUAAAAUAUUACUAGCAACAGCCAACAAAGAUCUUGCUCAAGUUAGGUCUCAUAUACGCGUCAAUGAUAUUACUAGGCUGCUGACAGGGCACAGAUGAGCUAGCAGCUUAGUGUGGUUACCAACUGAACAGAAUUGAAACAGUUGUUUCUGAGAAAUUUUCUUGCAACUUAGAGAGAGUUAGCCAAGAUUGUAAACAUGGGAUUUGUUCUUUGCAGAGUGCUGAGUGUAAUCUUUUAAUCGGCAUCUGUUAAUGAUGCUUGCCGUGGUUGUUUUCUCUUGCAGAUAUAAGCAAGCUUGUCAAGCCACAUAAAUUGCUCUUGUGAUGUUCUUGAUUUGAUUUUGCAUGUCCCUAUGAUCUCAUUGAUUAAUCUUUAGAUUUAGAUCCUGAAUUCUUUCUUGAUCUCUUCUUGAUUUGAUAAUCACAUUGAAUUGGAUCCAACAGUAACAAUGGCUCCUACAAUUAAACUCUAUUCAUUUUCUUUCCUUAUUGUUCUUAUGGUAAGGUACACAAUAUCACUUGUAAAUUAUACACACAUCAAUGGGGUAUUUGAAUGUUCUUAUAUAGACAUUAAUACAUAUAUGAAAUUGCUGGUAAAAGAAAUGAUGUCCAUAAUGUGAAACCAAAGAGAAAUAUGAUGCUGAACAACAUUAAAUCAAGAGUACGCACAUUACUAAGUUCCUGGUGAUCGCAUCAGAAAACAUUAUCUUGAUUUAGGAAUGAAGCUAAUUUAUCCAUCAAGGCCACAGCCUUUUCAGAAUCUGGAUUGAACAAGUGAAACACAUGAUCCUCUCCUUCUGUCUCCACAAUCUCAAUUUCUCCAGCCCAAACCACAAUUUUUCAAAGUCUCAUAAUAAAGCAAUCCCCUAUCUCUCAAAUUAUCCUUCUCGGCAACACAAACGAGAACCCUGGGACACCUCAGGCUCAUUAGCCUAGAGUCAGCAGCUGGGUUUAUUCUCACAUCAUUGUACCCACUUGUAUUUGGACAUACAAAUACCCAACACUUAUCAACAACUUCAUCAUUUCUCCCAAAAUAUGGCUGAACCAAGCAAAUUCCUGCCAGUUUUAUCCCAUUUAAGUCUUCAAAACUCGCUUGAACGACCAUGUUGUGCACAAUAUUGCCACCAGCACUGUCACCGGCGAGAAAAACACGAGCAAAAUCAGCAUGAUCGUUUAACCAAGCUUCAUAGCCAUGACCAUUGAUAUUAAAAUGAUAAGCUACCCAAGUGAGGACAGCCCAUGAGUCUUCAUAAGCAGCAGGGACCAAGUGUUCAGGGGCUAAUCUGUAAUCAACUGAGACUACAAUAACAUUUGCUUUGGCCGAAAGAGAGCCUACAUAGUUGUGGUACGUGGAACAAAAUGGUGAGCCCAUAAAGAAGCCCCCGCCGUGAUAAUAGACGAGGAGAGGGAGCUUUUGGUUUGUUUUAAUGGCGGCUGAAGGGAUGAAGAUUCUUGCUGAUACGCCUUUCUCUGGCACAAUAACUACAUCUUUGGAGAAGACAGCAUUUGAGGAAUCCAUUGAUGCUGGAACUUUAUCGCUCCCAAAGAAUCUCUCCACAUGCCCAUCUCUGUAUGCACGAAAAUAUGGAAGAAACUCAUGUGCAAUUGCUCUUGUUUUUGAAUCCAUUAUUGCUUGUUGCAUAUUAUUAAUUCUAGUGAUGAUGAUUAAAUAACGAGAGUAACAGUAGUAAGAUAUAUUGCCAGUAAUCGUUUCUUUGGUUUGCGAGCAAGAUUAAAGUGUGGUCAUUGGUUUCUUUUUUUUCCUCCGAGACAAAAAUGGGGCUAAAGUUUGGUCGUUCUUUGUAUUAAGAUAGUGGAAUAAAAAAGGAUAAAUUUCCAGCUAUCCCAUCAAUUCAUUUCCUACAUAUCGCAAUUUUACCCCAUAAAAAACAUCUUUUUUUUUUUUUUUAAUGAAAAAAAGGGAAAGUUUCGUGGUGCUUUCUCAUGUAGUUGUUCAAAAAGGUUUGAUACAAAACAUUUUGUUUUGUUUUUUAAUAAAAAAGAAAAUAUAAAACCAACUAAGUGUCGUUCGUAUAAUUGAAUAUCAUGAACAAGUUAAAAUCCCAUGGCUAUAGUUCAUGUGGGAUUUAAAGUUCCUCUCAAUACACAAAUGAACAAUAAGACCUCGUAGAUAGAACUCACUUUUAAAAAUUGGUUUAUAAAAGAAUUGAGUUCGCGAGUUUUAUAUAUUCAUUUAAAUUGUCAUAUUUUUUAGUUCAUGUACGCCAUGCGGAACAUAAGAUCCUAACAUAUAUCUUAUCGUAUUGAAAAAAUAUUAUAUUUGGUCCAAAAUCCAAUGCAUAUCCAAUAUUCACUUGUCUAUGCAUAUCCAACAUUUUCUUGUGCACAUGCAUGUCAAAAUGUUGCCAUUCUGAUAGUAAGUUGAAUGAUAAGGUCUUAAUUCAAGUUGUUCUGUACACUAGCAUCUUAAUUGCACUUUCUCUGUCACAGAGUAUUUGAAUAUGUUUGAAGCAAGUUCAGCCCCCAAAUGAAUCAAUAGUUGAAAAACAGAAACUAUUUUCAGAACCAGUCAGGAUUAUUGAGAAAUACCCUGCUGGUGAUGCUGGUGAUAUUAAGAAGAAGAACAUGGUAUGCCUUAAUUGGUUGCUCUCAGAUAAGCCCUUAGACUUGGAAACGGAACUUGCCCUUGGGUUCUUGGAUCAUCUUAUGCUGGGAACUCCUGCUUCUCCCUUGAGGAAAAUUUUACUAGAAAGUGGUCUUGGAGAUGCCAUUGUUGGUGGUGGGAUUGAAGAUGAACUCCUUCAGCCUCAAUUUAGUAUCGGAUUGAAGAAUGUUUCUGAAGAUGACACUCAAAAGGUAGAAGAAUUAAUCAUGGAUACACUAAAAAAACUAGCAGACGAAGGUUUUUUUCAGAAUAUUUCAUAUUUUCUAUCUAGCAAGCCUUGCUUUGCUCCCACGACUCCAACGAAUACGUUGGGUCUAAGUCUUUUACCAUAGUAAGUCUAUAAUUCCGAGGUGCCAUAAGCAGGUGUACAUCCGAGGACAACUCAAAUUUAGAGUCUUAAGUUUCUUAUCCUACAUUAAAACUUCUCUUGAUCUAAACUUUUAUUUGCUAUUAAAUACCUAACAUACAUUCAAUUUGAAUUUUACACUAUUCUUUUAUUAUUAGAUAGCAAUUUUUUAUGUGGAAAUAUUCUGUAAGUUGUAAAAGCUAUUGUUAUCAAAAUUAUUUUUUCAUAGUUUAUUUCUUCUGUAUAUCAAAUGCUUAGCUUAUAAUUAUUCAUAACAUAUAAAUAUUACUAUACUAAAUAACCCGGUAAACAUAUACCUAUUUAAACUUCCAAAUGUAUAAUACAUCUAAGGAUAUAAGUAUAAAAUACUAGAUUUAAGAUAUUUUGAGUUUAUAAAAGCAAACAACUUACCACUUAUAUACUUAGGCAUCAAAAAAUGAAAACAGACAAAUGGAUUUAGAUUUGUUUAAACUUCAGUUAAACUAAUUUAAAUUUCAAAUAAAAAGAAUAAAUGUUAUCUUAAUAAAUAGUUAGUUGUUAGUAGGGCAGAUUAUUGAUAAUACCCGUUUUCACCAAAUUUUCAUUAGGAUCUGAUUCGUACUAGUUACCAGAUCAAAUCUGUCUCAAAUAAAUAAAUUUACAUUUGAGGGAGCUUGUGCUAAGUUUGGACUUAGAUGUUUUUUUCUGAUAUUUGUGAUAGGUGGUUUAACUAAGGUACCCUAGGUGGUGAGCCAAAAUAAUAUAUAGGAGUUAAUUUAGGGAGUAACUCAAGUGUCCCACCAAAUACUUAGCGUAGUUAGGGUAGCUCAAGUAUACUCGAGUGAUAGCUCAAGUGUCUCACCAAAUACUUAGUGUAAGUGGGGUACGUCAAGUAUGCUUACACAUGAACAUAAUUACAACUGUAAUUCUGUAAAUUGAAAAUAUAGCAAAAUAAACAUAGAGGCAAUGAACACACAUUGUUUACGUGGUUUAGCCUUUGACCUACGUCCACGGGAGUAAGUAAUCAUCAAUCCAUUAUAACACACAAUGUUUACGUGGUUUGCCAUUUAGCCUACGUCUAUAGGAGCAAGUAAUCACCAAUUCGUUAUAUAAAUGAAAUGUUAUAUAAGAUUCUACAUUAUAAAAGAUGAAUAAAAUAAGCUAGAUAGCUAUAUAGAGAUGUUUAGUCUUGAUAAAGAUGAAGAUGAUUGUUUCAGGUAGAUUUUGGGUGCAAAAGAAAAAAGGAAAACCUAACUAAAAUAAUAAAUUUAUUUUCGGGAUAUAAGGUACCUCACUUAGUUGCAAUUUGUGCGUUGUUUUGUGCAUUUUAAAAAAAUGAAGAAGAGUGAGAAGACAAUGAUAAUGGUGAGAGGUCCAAAUCUGGACUGAAAGAGCUUGAAAGGACACCUUAAACUAGCAAAACAAUAAAAAGGAUAUCAUAGGUGAAGCCGGAAGUGGCCAGUGACCAUGGUUCGAUGCUUAAGUCAGAGUUGGGUUAUCUAGCGUUUGAGAGCUUGUAAGCUCUCUUUAAUGAUUGCUGGAGGUUAGAGAAAACCUUAGUCUUUUAUGUGUGUGUUUGUUGUAUAUCUGAGCAAAAUAAAACUUUAGUGUCUUUCUAUAUAGAGCACCUUGACUACCCUACCACGUGGCAUAUAUUACAGUGGUGAUUUGCUGUCAUUUUCAAGUUUAUUUUAUCCUUUCACCAGUAUCAUGAUUUUGAGCCAUUAGUAGCAUGCUUGAGGAGCAAUAAGGACAUCAUUUGGUAUGGUUUGUUUUCUUGUACACGUGUUGUGCGUUGCAGAGUAGUCUAGGACACCUCUACAAAGGUUGUCUUGACAGCUUCUAUGCGUGGCAGCUAAGGACCACUGUCUUGGUGUGUUUCCUUUUGCUUUUUAUAGGUGUGACAGCAAGCUGCCCCUUCUUUUCUAGCAAGAUAUUUCCUAUUUGAUCUUGUCAAAUCAAAUAUUCUCUUAGGGUGAUGGAGGUAUUUCUCACGGUUGAUAUUUUAGAGACUUUUCUUUACCAUCUUACUUCUAGUAUGGAAUACUCCACGUACCAGCUCAAUUAUCAAGUGUACCCAGUGUAAGUUAGGUACCCUCUGUGAUUAUUUUUAAUCAUAAAAUUUUUCAUCAACACACAGCGCCACAUUAUUGAUCUUCAAUGUCUUCCCCAAACAAUAUCCUUCCUAGUACAGACACCCUUUUAUAAAAAUAAGCAAUGGAGCUAUUGGCACCCCUUUAAAAAUCGUAUCAAACCUUUCAUUUGAGUUAUUUUAUAAAAAAUUUAAUUAAAUGCACCCAUCUUCUUCAAGAAUAUUGGCAGCAAUCAGAUUUGUUGUUUAUGACCCAUAUAUAGAAUUUCAGUUACAAACCAUUCAUUAUCUAUCAUCAAACGAAUUCUUGAAAAGAACAAUUUUAAAUAAAAGACAGACUAAUGUAAAAGAAAAAUGACUCUAAAAGUAUACAAUUGUUUGUGAUAAAAAAGAAAAAGAAAAAAAAUGUCUCAUUCUUGUUCAAAGAAUAAAAAUAUGGAUUUAGUGGUGUGAAAAGAAAUCUCUCCAAAACUGAAUUGGAUAAGUUCAAGCUCUGAACUUGCAGUGUUGAACAAGCGCAAUCAUUAUAAAUUUAAAAUGAAAGAAAAUGCCAUUGAGUUUAGAAGAGUUUCGUAGAGAGAGAUGAGGUUCACUGAAGUUUUCUUGGGAAAAAUAAUUGGAAGGUUAUUUGUGGAAUUAAAUAGAGAUUAUUCUUAAAAGUGGUUGUACGAGGGCAUUCGAGGGAUGGCAAUAGUCCAACCCAAUAUUAAUUUCUGUGUUCAAUUGAUUUUCUGAGAAUUGUCAUACUUUUUUUAAUUAAUAAAUUUCCUUUGAACGGUUGAAGUUGGUAAAUAUAUAUAUAUAUAUAGGGUUCCUCUAUGAUGUUGUAAUUUUUUUACAGCAUCAAUAAUGUUUUUAAUUGUGUACCAUUGGAUUUAAUCAAUGGUACACAAUAUUUGUAGGUAAAAAUAAAAAUAAAAAAUAAUGGUAAACGGUUAACAAACGUGUAAGGGGUGGAGAAGUUUGUGAAAUAACUAUGACCACCCUUAGAGUUUGAAACAAUUUCACUUAAAUAUCACAUUUUAUUUAAAAUUAUUUUUCAGAAUAUAAUGGUAGGUUAUUUAACACAAAUCAAAUAAAUAAGUUGCAAUUGCAAAAUUUAUAUAUGAUAUAACACUAAUAAAUAACACAACAAGUACAUAUAGUUAAGUAAAUGUCAUAGAUACAUCAAUAAACUCAUUGUUGAGAUUGCUUGUAACAUAAAAAUUACUUGAUCACACAUGUUUUAAUAAAAUUUAAUAUUGUAUAUUAAAAUACUCAUUAUUUUAUAUAAUAUUAAGGGCCAUUGUAUAAUUGAUCAUGAAGUAUGUAUCAUUUUUAACACCCAUUUAACAAAUUUAUUUUAUGUACUUUAUAUUUAUCUUACAGUUAAUAUCCUUACAUGGUGGGAGUUUUAAGUUUUAUAAGCUUAUAUAUUUUCAUUACAGCAGAAUUAUAAAAUUUUAUGUUAUGAAGAGUCAUUACUUCUGUUAUGAUAGUUAAUAGUGACAAUAAAUAAAAUAUUGCCUCCGAUAAUAUUUACGUGGGAAAAAAGUGAAAUAAAAUCAUUUAUAUUUUUAAAUUUUUAUUGACAUGGUAGAAAAUUAUCUGAGCCUUAUAAAAUUUAACUUAUAGUAAUUAUAAAAUUUUUAUGUUACAAAGAGUCAUUACUUUUAUUAUGAUAAUUAAUAGUGACAAUAAAUAAAAUAUCACAUCAAAUAAUAUUUAAUGGACAAAAUGAGGAAAAAAAUGAUUGCAUGUUUUUAUAUUUCCAUUAUAACGAUAUAAUUUGGGAUACUUUAACUUAAAAUUUUGACACAAUAUUUGAGCCACUAAUAUAACAUAAUCUAAUGGUUGAUAUUGAAAGUCAAAGCAACAUUUCAUAAUGUUAUAUCCUCUACCAUUGAAUUGCAUGAAAUAAAUAGUUUAAUCUUUUGUUAAAAAUUUAAAUCAAAAUAUUUCUCACUCUAUAGUUAUAUAGACAUAUAUAUUUUUCAAUAAUAAUUGGUGAAUAAAAUAUUUCUCAUUUGUUGUGACUCAUAAUUUUAAAUAAAAUAUGCUAUUUAAGUGAAAUUAUUUCAAACUCUAAGGGUGGUCACAAUUAUUUUACAAAAAUUCUCCACCCACUUGAACGUUAACAAACUGUUUACUAUUAUUUUUAAAUUAUUUUUUUAGUACAAAUAUUAUACACCAUUGAUUAAAUCUAAUGAUUUACAAUUAAUACAUUAUUGAUGCUGUAAAUUUUUUACAGCAUCAUAGAGGAACCCAUAUAUAUAUAUAUAUAUAUAUACCCGUAAAAAUAGCAGCUGACAGAAAAAAAAAAAAAAAGGAAAUUGACAAUUAUAAAUAUAGUUAGAGGCACAUGAAUUCAGGCCUUCUCCUGAUGAUUCAAGAAAGAAGCAGUUCUCUCAAGCAUGGCCACAGCAUUUUCACAUGUGGGAUUUAUCAAAUGGAACACAUAUUGCUCUCCUUUGGACUCAACAAUCUCCACAUUGCCCCUACACCCGCUCUCCUUCAACUUGUCAUAAUAAAACCAUCCUCUAGAUCUCAGAAAAUCAUUCUCCGCAACAAAUACCUGCAUCCUGGCGCAUCCCAGGCUCGCUAGGUCCGAACCCGCAACGGCAGGAUUAAUCCACGGAUCAUCGCACCCACUUGUGCUACUUGGACAAGUCAAUCUCCACAAUCCCGCGACCCAGUCUCUUUUCUUAGCGUCAGCUGUUUCAUUACCAACAGCUUCUCUGCCCAGAAAAUACGGAUGAAUUAAAACAAUGCCAAUAACAUUAACACCAUCGAGAAUUUCUCGACCAUGUCUCAUGCCCAUGUGAUGAGCUAUGUUAGCGCCAGCACUGUCACCAGAAAAAAACACUCGCUGGAAAUCAGCGAAAUAGUUGAGCCAAUCUUCAGGGCCUUCUCCGUUAACAUGGGAAGCAACCCACUUGAGUGCAGUCCAUGAAUCAUCAUGAGCGCAAGGGACAGGAUUCUCCGGGGCUCUCCGAUAAUCAACCGAGACUGCGAUGACGUUAGCUUCAGAGACUAAGGUGUUGAGGUAAUUGUGGUAAGUGGGAGAAAAGGCGGUUUCGAUGCAAAAGCCUCCGCCAUGAAAAUAAACAAGAAGGGGAAGUUUUUGGUUUUGGUUUUGGUUUUGUCUUUGGUUUGGAAUGUAAAGCCGAGCAUACAGUGGCGGAUCUAGCUUGGGACCAGUGGGGACUUAAGUCCCCACUGAAAAAAAAAAAAUUUUUUUACUAACUAAUUUGAUUUGCCAAAAUCUUUUAUAUUCAAGCCCAUAAAUCUUUUAUAAUCAAGCCCCUAAUACUUAAUUAUACUUAAAUUCUCACAUGAGUGGUGAUAUUUGACCCCCUCAUUAUAUCUCACCAACCCCCACUAAUUAUUUUUAUAUUAAUACUUAUUUUAUCCUUAUAUGAAAUGACUUAAAAGGAUAAAUAUAUUUUAAGUACACCCACAUAAUAAUUUUUAUUAAUAAUUAAUAAAAUUAGUCUAAUUUUUUAAACCCUAAUUUCCUUUAACUUUUUAAUUUUUUUGGUGAGAAUUGAUUAAACCCUAAUUAUAAUGAUCAUUAAUAUUCUUAGCCAACAAUUGCUUUGUUAAACGUUCAGUCAAAUCCUCUUAGAACAAUCCUUAAGAAAUAGAGAUUCCCUACAAGCAUCAUAGAUGAAACAAAAAGUCAUAAGAAUGGUCCUUAUAUUGCCUGAUUAUUGGUUUAGUGGCAUUUAAUAAACCAAUCUCCUUGUCAUUGCUACGGAAGUAUUGUUUGUAGCAAAUGAGCCUUUAUUACCUGAUUAUUGCAUGAUCCCAUAAACCCAACAAGCACGACAACUGAACCUGUAAGUCUUGGAGUGAGAGUUCUACCGAGUGACCAUGGUUGAUUGUCUUCUUCUUCUAGUAAAGGGAAAAGCGAGUUCGUUUAAAAUUUGUAUAAAACCCUAGAAUCUAACUUUUUAAAUUAUCUCUUUUCAUAUAUUAUAUACUCCCUGCUUUUGUAACUAUGGAAGAAAUUAGUUUGCAGUACUCACUAGCGGAUGAAGAAGUAAGUUUAAAGUUUUUUUCCCUUUAAUUUUUGUACUCUAUUUAUUUUCAACACCCUAAUAAUUUUAUAUUUCUAACAAAUUUUAGGAUGAAAAGUCUAUUAAUCAUGGAAACAAUGUCACAAGAGAAUCGAACAUUGUAGAUGAUUGUGCUUGUGUUUUCAGCACUGACAAGGUAGAUAGCUAACUUUCACUUUUUAAUUUUUUAUUAUUAAUUAAUAUUAUUCAAAGCUUUCUAAUUGGAUAUAUUAUAAUUUUGUUUUGAUUAGGUUUUGAAUAGCAUGGAAGAAUUAAUUGAGUGGACACGAAAUGCUGGCAAGAGAAAUGGAUAUGUCAUUAUAAUAAAAAAGUCAGAUGUAAGUGCACAUGGUAGAAAUCCAAGAAUAAUUUUCGCUUGUGAAAGAAGUGGUGCUUACAAGUGUGUUUCUAGUGAAGGUCAAAGGCCAAAAUGUCCUAAGGCAACCGGAACAAAAAAAUGCAAUUGUCCAUUCAGAUUAAAAGGGCAAUAUUUGGCAAAUGACAAUUGUUGGGUUUUGAAAGUGAUAUGUGCAGAACAUAACCAUCCUGCAGCAAAACAUCUUGAGGGGCACUCAUAUGCAGGUAGACUUACUGAAAAAGAAAACAACUUAUUGAUUGAUAUGUCAAAAAGUAAUGCAAGGCCAAAGGAUAUACUAUAUACGAUAAAACAAAGAGAUAUAUAUAAUGCUACUACUAUGAGGUCUAUUUACAAUGCAAGACAUAGAUACAAGGUUAAAGAACUAGCCGGUAGGUCAAAGAUGCAACUACUCAUGAGCAAAUUGACUGAGCAUAACUACAUUGAGUGGUAUCAAAGUGAUGCUGAUACAGACAAUGUUAAGGACUUAUUUUGGGCUCAUCCUUUUGCAAUUGACCUAUUACGGGCAUUUCCACAUGUGUUAAUUAUGGAUUGCACAUACAAGACCAACAUGUAUGCUUUUCCAUUACUAGAGCUGGUUGGUGUCACCUCGACUGAGAUGACAUUUUCAGUAUGUUUUGCAUAUAUUGAACGCGAGCGGGAGGAUAACUACAGUUGGGCACUAGAUAAAUUGAAAGGUUUUAUGGAUAAUAAUAUGUUACCGAGUGUAAUUGUGACAGAUAGAGAGGUAGCACUAAUGAAUGCUAUUCAAAAUAUUUUCCCAACUGCAACUCAUCUUCUGUGUAGAUGGCAUAUCUCAAAAAAUAUUUUAGCUAAUUGUAAGAAGUUAUUUGAGACUAAUGAGGUAUGGGAAUCUUUCAUUACUAGUUGGAAUAUAUUAGUACUAUCUGCCACAAAAGACCAUUAUAUGCAACACCUAAGACUUUUGGAGAGUGAAUUUGUUAGAUAUCAAGAAACUAUUGAUUAUGUGAAGAACACAUGGCUGGAUAAGUACAAGGAAAAAUUUGUUGCAGCUUGGACUGAUUCAAUAAUGCAUUUAGGAAAUACAACCUCAAACAGGUAAAUAUUCAUUAAAAUAUAUUCUUAUAUUUAAUUUUAUUAUUGAAAAAAUAACUUUUUUUUGGGUAUUUUCUUAACAGGGUUGAGACAUCUCAUUCAGCAUUAAAAAGGCAACUACAAUCAUCACGAGGAACUUUUGAGACGUUAUGGACUAAAAUCCAUGCUUUAGUAGAAUUGCAGCAUACAGAGAUUAAAGCUUCGUUAGAGAGAAGUUCAACAACAGUGCAACAUGAUUUCAAACCUUCAGUUUUCAAGGAAUUGCGAGGAUUUGUUUCACGAAAUGCACUCAACAUGAUAUUUUGUGAGUCUAAACAAGCUGAUUAUAUUGGUCUAGAUCCAUUGGCUUAUGGAUGCGUAGUUCGACGCACUCAUGGAAUUCCAUAUGCACAUGAGAUUGCAAGGUAUAAGCGUGAAGGAAGACCUAUUCCUUUGUCUUUUAUACAUCUACAUUGGAAGAAACUAAACUUAUUACCUACUACCAAAGCUGAAACUACAGAUUUAAGUUGUUCAACUGAGAUGGAGAUGAUUUUGAAGCGUUUUAAUAAUAAUGAUUACACUGGAAAGUUACAGAUUUUGAAGAAGUUAAAAGAACUAGCAAAUCCAGCAUCAACUUAUCUUAUUGAGCCAGAAGCUAAAGCAAGAACACGAGGCCGACCUUCUUCAAAGGCAGAUAAUUCUACUCGUCGAGAUCCAUCCAAAUUUGAACAUGUAUUAUCUGCACUGAAUAGUCAUUCUCCACAUUUAUCUUCAAGUAAGAUUUUUGUACAAUCUAAACUACGACAAAGAAAAAAGGUGCAUCAGUCUCAACUUCCUAAGCAUUCUUCUUUCAUUGAUUCAUUUCCACAAGGAUUGCGGCCAUAUAUACAUCAUGUUAAAGAUGUUGCUGCAGAUGGUAAUUGUGGCUUUCGUGUUGUGGCUGAUUUAAUUGGUUUGGGUGAGGAUAAUUGGAUUCAAGUGAGGAGGGACUUAAUUGAUGAAUUAAAAAGCCACUUUGAUGACUAUACCCAAAUAUUUAAGUAUGCAGGUAGAUCUGAUGAGAUUCUACAGUCACUUUCAUAUUUUGAAAACAAUCCAUCAAAUGAUUAUUGGAUGACCUUCCCUGAAGCAGGAUAUCUUAUUGCUUCUAAAUAUAAUGUUGUGCUAGUAUUCUUAUCUCAACUUCAGUGUCUCACUUUUCUUCCACUCAGAUCAACUCCAUUACCACGGCCCUCUCAAAAGAUUAUUGCAAUUGGAUUCAUUCACAAUUGUCAUUUCAUACAGGUAGUUUUUUAGACUUUUUGUUAAUAAUUAUUAUUUCAUACCACAACCCUCAAAGAAAAGAAAUUUUUUUUUUUUAACACUUGUUAACUAUGAUUUUUUCAAUAUUUUACUUUUUUAUUACAGGUAGUCAUGAAUCCAGAUUCACCGAUGCCACCAAUAGCAAGUAGUUAGUUAAAAUAUCAUUCUUCUAUAGCAGAAGGAUGGGCAACUCCAUAUGAUAGGAACAUUAUUGCUUUUAAAGAUUUAGUACAUAAUGUAGCAAGCAAAGACACAAUUGAUUUGGAUGAUCAAUAAGUGUUUCCAUUUUUUAUUGUUUUUUUAAAUGAUUUCGGCAAGUUGUUUUGUAAUAAGUAUUUCAGUUCAUAUAUUAUUUAGAAACUACAAUUUUAUCCAGAGAAACUGCAACAACUUAUUAACACUAAGAGGGGAUACAGAGCCACUGGUUGAAUGUAGUACCCAACUACCCAUUGUUACAAUAUUUGGAGUAAGAGCUACGAAAAUCAGUUUAUUUGUGCUAUUAGAUAUCAUGUCGAUGUUUUAAUUGCCUGGUUUUCUCAAAUCCUUAAAACUGAUUGUUAUUAGAAAAGAAUUAAUGGGGAAAGGAAAGUCAUGAAAAGUUCUUCUGUUGUGUUAACUGAAGCCAUGCAGCUGUUGCUUUGGAGAAGUUUGUACUAUCUGCUGAGUAUUUCAUUAAGAGGAAGUUAUAUUCAGUUUUUUUUUUUUAGAAAAGCUAUAUCCAGAUGUUGAUAUAGGAAUAAAUAAGAUUUAAUUAGUUUUUACUUUUGUUAUUUCUUGCAAGUGUAAAUAGGUUAAAAAACUGUUAAAUAUGUGAUAUGAGCAAGGAAAUUACAAUCAGAAGGGUUACUUGAGAGUUACAAUAGCUACUUUUGAACCUAAUUCUACUUUGAUAGAUUCAUAAUGCAUGCUUAUUUAAGAAAUUUGGCCACUUUGGUGGUCAAAAUCUACUCGGCAGUUGCAAAACUUCAUAAAUUGUAUAUAGAACAAAAAAAACAGUAAUGAUCAUUUUUAUAGAGAACGAAAGUAAUAAUUUUAUUCAGUCAGUAAAAAUGACAAACACUUGGAAGACUAUUCACAGCUAUGAAGAAAUACAUAAAUUCUCCAAUUUGUAAACAAAAAAACAACCAGUCAAGAUACUCAAAGAACUAAAAAAGCCAAUACAAAUUGAAACUAACUACAAUACUUAAAUAUAUAAUUUCUUGAAUUUGUAAACACCAUACCUCCUCAUGCUGAAAAAGGUAGCUGCACUUGCAAGAAAUUCCAAAACUAUCAUGUCUACCCCCUUGGCUAAUUCUUGUAUUUCUAUACUCACUCUGGGCUUGAUAGACUUAGCAUGAUACUUUGAUUUUUUAGGAUUGACUUGGCAUGGUUCGUGGUCCAAUCCUUAUUGGAAUUAUUAAAUUCUUUUCCAUGGUUACGGUGGCGAUUAUGAGAAUUUUUUUCUGUUUUAAAAUAAUUUUUAUAAGUUUUAUAAAUGGGUGCAUGAAGUAAGAUAAAAAUUAUAAUAAGGGUAAAUUAGGAAUUAAGUGGGGUAUAUUAAGAGAUAAAAAUUAAUUUAAAAUUAUUAAUGGGGUUAAUUGAAAAGUGGGGGUUUGUGAGAUAUAAUUAGGGGGUUAAAUAUCACCACUCUUCUCACACUCUAAGUUUUUAAAACAAAUAAAAAGAGAUGGGCUUUGCAAACUUAUUAACACUAAGAGGGGAUACAGAGCCACUGGUUGAAUGUAGUACCCAACUACCCAUUGUUACAAUAUUUGGAGUAAGAGCUACGAAAAUCAGUUUAUUUGUGCUAUUAGAUAUCAUGUCGAUGUUUUAAUUGCCUGGUUUUCUCAAAUCCUUAAAACUGAUUGUUAUUAGAAAAGAAUUAAUGGGGAAAGGAAAGUCAUGAAAAGUUCUUCUGUUGUGUUAACUGAAGCCAUGCAGCUGUUGCUUUGGAGAAGUUUGUACUAUCUGCUGAGUAUUUCAUUAAGAGGAAGUUAUAUUCAGUUUUUUUUUUUUAGAAAAGCUAUAUCCAGAUGUUGAUAUAGGAAUAAAUAAGAUUUAAUUAGUUUUUACUUUUGUUAUUUCUUGCAAGUGUAAAUAGGUUAAAAAACUGUUAAAUAUGUGAUAUGAGCAAGGAAAUUACAAUCAGAAGGGUUACUUGAGAGUUACAAUAGCUACUUUUGAACCUAAUUCUACUUUGAUAGAUUCAUAAUGCAUGCUUAUUUAAGAAAUUUGGCCACUUUGGUGGUCAAAAUCUACUCGGCAGUUGCAAAACUUCAUAAAUUGUAUAUAGAACAAAAAAAACAGUAAUGAUCAUUUUUAUAGAGAACGAAAGUAAUAAUUUUAUUCAGUCAGUAAAAAUGACAAACACUUGGAAGACUAUUCACAGCUAUGAAGAAAUACAUAAAUUCUCCAAUUUGUAAACAAAAAAACAACCAGUCAAGAUACUCAAAGAACUAAAAAAGCCAAUACAAAUUGAAACUAACUACAAUACUUAAAUAUAUAAUUUCUUGAAUUUGUAAACACCAUACCUCCUCAUGCUGAAAAAGGUAGCUGCACUUGCAAGAAAUUCCAAAACUAUCAUGUCUACCCCCUUGGCUAAUUCUUGUAUUUCUAUACUCACUCUGGGCUUGAUAGACUUAGCAUGAUACUUUGAUUUUUUAGGAUUGACUUGGCAUGGUUCGUGGUCCAAUCCUUAUUGGAAUUAUUAAAUUCUUUUCCAUGGUUACGGUGGCGAUUAUGAGAAUUUUUUUCUGUUUUAAAAUAAUUUUUAUAAGUUUUAUAAAUGGGUGCAUGAAGUAAGAUAAAAAUUAUAAUAAGGGUAAAUUAGGAAUUAAGUGGGGUAUAUUAAGAGAUAAAAAUUAAUUUAAAAUUAUUAAUGGGGUUAAUUGAAAAGUGGGGGUUUGUGAGAUAUAAUUAGGGGGUUAAAUAUCACCACUCUUCUCACACUCUAAGUUUUUAAAACAAAUAAAAAGAGAUGGGCUUUGCAAACUAAAAUCAAGCCCAUAAAUAUUAAUAUUAAUCAAAUUUUUAAACAGCCCACAAACCUAUUAAUAAUAUUUUAUUACUCUUUACCUUCUCCAAUUCCACUACAUCCUGCACCCAUACGCAAAUCCCUAAAUCAUCUUCUUGUUUCGACAUCUCCAAAAGCAAAACAGUUUCGGCAUCUCCAAAAGCAAAACAGUAGUGACAGUGGAAAGUGAUUUUCAUUUAUUCCUCCAAAUUUCAAACAACCCCUCAUCUCUUCAUUCAAUAAAAUUAAGGUACAAGUUAACACUUUAUUUGCUUUUUAUUUUAUUGUUUAUAAAUCAUAUAUAAUUAUUUGUUGAAUUGAUGUUAUAGUUGUUUUUCUUCCCCCUUAGUUAGUGUAUCAUCUGGCUAUUGGUAUAUUUGAAAAAUAUAAUGUGAUUGAGUGUAGAUUCCAUGAAAAAGAACACAUAUUAUUAGAUUAAGAAAAUAACAAUUGCAAUUAAGCAUUUGCUUGUUUAACUUUAAUGUCUUGUACUGUUUGUUAAUUAAUUUAUAGCAUUAAUAUAAUUAUAUAAUAGGGGAAUAUGCUAAAAGUGCUACUAGCCUAAGUAAAGUACUCAAUAUUCAUAAUCUUUAUUAUAAUACAUUUUGAGCAUUAUUAACAUGUUUUCAACAGUAAUUAGUGUAUUGGAAAUGAUUAUUGAUGAUGAACCAAAAUCUGGGCAAAGAGGAGAAGCAAAGAAUUUACUAGAGUUGAUGUUGUCAUUUAAUUUUGUGUUCUGUUUACAUUUGAUGAGGAAUAUUUUAGGGGCUACAGAUGAGUUAUCACAAGCAUUACAGAGGAAAGAUCAAGAUAUUGUGAAUGCUAUGAACUUGGUUAGGUUAUGUAAACUACAACUUCAAACAAUGAGACAAAGUGGAUGGAAUUCUUUAAUUGAUGAAGUUACUUUUUUUUUGUGUGAAGCAUGAUAUUGAUGUGCCUAAUAUGGAUGAUAUGUUUGUGGAUAAAGGGCGAUCACAACAUAAAGCUCAAGAGAUCACAUAUUUGCAUCGUUAUCAUGUUGAAUUGUAUUAUGCAGUCUUAGAUAUGCAACUUCAAGAGCUUAAUUCUCGUUUUAAUGAGACAAACAUUGAGUUGCUUCUUUGCUUAGCAUAUUUAUCUCCAAAUGAUUUAUUUUCAGCUUUCAAUAAGCAGAAGCUAUUACGGCUAGCCCGGUUGUAUCCAAAUGAGUUCUCUACAAUUGAUAUCAUGGCACUUGGGACUUAACUUGAUACAUAUAUUUUGGAUAUGCGCACUAGUGGUGAGUUUUCAGAAUUAAAGGAUAUUGGUGAUCUUGCAAAGCGGAUGGUCGAGACUAAGAGACAUAAUGUAUAUCCAUUAGUUUACUUGUUAAUAACAUUAGCAUUGACUUACUUGUUGCCACUGCGAGUGUAGAGAGAGCAUUUUCAGCUAUGAACAUUUUGAAGAAUCGGUUACGAAGCCGAAUGGGAGAGCAAUGGAUGAAUGAUAGUUUAGUUGUUCACAUAGAAAAAGACUUAUUUAAUAAUAUUGAUAAUGAAGUUGUAAUGCAACGUUACCAAUGUAUGAAAACUCGUAAAGGACAAUUGUAAACAUAUAUUGAAGUAUGAUAAAUUUUUUUAAAUUUAUAUAUUUAAUAUGAAAACUCAUAUUAUCUUUUAAAUCAAUAUGCUGUCUCCGCCCCUGCAAGCAUAUAGAUUGUUUUCUGGUGAAUACACAACGUCUUUGGAAUGAAGGUUUGUUUUGGGAUCAAAUGAUGCAAGAACGAUGUCGUUUCCUUUGAGCCUUUCUACUUUGCCAUCUUUGUAUACUUUUAUCGUGAGAGAGAGGUCUAUGGCUAUUUCUGCUGCCGGCUCUGUGGAAUCCAUGUGUAGAGAAAAAGUGCAGAAAAAUAUUGACGGGCUUUGUCUGUUCUCCAGGAGAAGGAGAAAGGAAAAUGGAGCAGAAAAACAUGCAGAGAUGAAGACAAGAUUUGGUAUGUGGAAGGCAGCAAGAGUGGAUAACGUUUACAAUUUAAAAAAUAAAAUAAAAAUGAUAAAGGGACAAAAAUGGUGUCCAAACAAAUACAAUUAGGCCCAUGUAAAUCAAGACAUAUGUUACGAUAACUCAUUAAGAAAAAAAUGAAAAAGGAGUUAUGAAGUGAAAUACAUAAUUAAAAAAUUAACAAUAAUUGAGCAAAUUAAAUUAAAAGAGUUAGUGGUGUUGAUUAUUGACACGUCACCUUGUAAUAGUUUUGUAAGUGCCAAACCACUCUCUUUCAAUUUUUUGUUUUUGUUUUUUGGGACAAGAUAAUAUGAGGAUUGGUAAGAUUUUAAUCCUUGAAUUAUCAUAACCGAAACUGUAAUUUCAAAAAUCGUAUCAGUUUUUGUUGAAGAUGGUAGAAAAUUUUGUUUGGUAAGGACUGCCUUCUUUGUGGAUUUAUCUAAACCACGCUCUUUAUUUCUCACCAACUCUGAUUGGCUUGGCUCCACGUCUCUUCAAUAAGUGGCAAGCAAAUUAUCCUUCUGAUCAACAACCAAAUUAUUGAAUAUUUUAUGCUUAGGCAUUACAUAUCUUGAUUGAGCAUAGCCACAGCAUUGCGUGCGGCUCUCGUUUAGACUCUGCUGUCUCCAAAUAUUUGUGUAGAUAUUUUUCGACUUCAUAGAAAUUGUGGCAUUUCCAGUAUAAAACUAUUGAUAAUUUUUUUCUUGCUCCAUCCAAUAGAAAUCACAAUAUUUGUUUUUCUUCUGAAAGACAGACAUGACAAAGUAAAUUUUCAUCUUCAUCACGUUGGCAUGCAGAAAUAUUUAUUUCUCUAUAUUUGUAUUAUAGAUUAUUGACAUUCAUACAAGUCAUAUUUAUUUAAUACUUUAAUUUUAUUUAACUUAUUUUUAUUAAUUAAUAAAACAAUUAUGAAGACCGGCAGUCAACUGUGUCCGACCGUUAUCAUGAUCAUCUUUUAUCAGCAAAUCACCAGAUUAGUAGGAUAACUUGCUAAGUGAAAUGAAUGAAGUUGCUGAAAAUUGAAAGAAACAGAGCUCAUAUUGGAUAUAUUCUGAUCCGAAAUCAAAGAGAAAUCGAUGGACUCCGUGAACAGUACUACUAUUACAUCAAGUUGUCUUAAUUGAUUUACGAUUGAAUCUAAUUAUUAAUACAUCAAUGAUUCCAGAAGGCCAAAACCUUUUCCGAAUUCUGAUUCCACGGAAUCCCACUUGUAUUUAGCCGCAAUCAACCUAUCUUAUUUCUUCUGAGGUAAAAAAAAAAAAAAAGGAAAGAAAAUCACACACACACACUAGAGUUAUUAUAAUUACCUUAUUCAUCUUUCCUCCCAAAUAUUUGCCGAACCAAAGCAAAUAACCCUUCAGUUUCAAGGCUUAUCCUGAUUGAAGAAAGAACAAAUUUUCUUGAGCAUAGACCCAGCAUUUUCACAAGUGGGAUUGAACAAAUGGAACACAUGUUGCUCUCCUUUAGACUCAACUAUCUCCACAUGGCCUCCCCACCCACUUUCCUUCAACUUCUCAUAGUAAAACCAUCCUCUAGGGCACAGGAAAUCCUUCUCCGCAGCAAACACCAGCACCCUGGCGCACCCCAGGCUUGCGAGGCUCGAACCGUCGGCACACGGAUUAACCCACGGAUCAUCGAGCCCGCUUGUGCUUGGACAAGCAAAUAGCCAAAAUCUCUCCGUUCCAGCUCUUAUUUUAACAUCAGUAGGCUCGGAACCAACAGGUUCAACACCCCAAAAGUAUGGAUGAAUCAAGACAAUACCAACAACAUUAAAGCCGUCGAUAAUUUCUCCACCGUUUCUUAUCGCCAUGUGAUGAGCAAUAUUAGCACCAGCGCUGUCCCCAGAGUAAAACACUCGCUCAAAAUCAGCAUUACGGUUGAGCCAAUCUUCGGGGCCAUUUCCGUCAACAUGGGAAGCAACCCAUUUGACUGCGUCCCAUGAAUCUUCAUAAGCGAUAGGAAGAGGAUGCUCUGGGGCUCUUCGGUAGUCGACCGAUACUGCGAUGAUGUUAGCUUCAGAGACCAAGUCGUUGAGGUAAUUAUGGUAAGUUGGUGAAAAAGCAGUCUCGAUGAAAAAACCUCCUCCGUGAAAAUAAACAAGAAGGGGAAGUUUUUGGUUUUGAUUUGUGUUUUUCGGGAGGUAAAGCCGAGCAGAUAAAUUAUGUUCAGGAGAAUACACAACGUCUUUGGAAUCAACGUUUGUUUUGGGAUCAAGUGAUGGGGGAACGAUAUCGGUGCCCAUAAGCCUUUCUACUUUGCCGUCUUUGUGUACUUUUAGCAAAGGUGAGAAGUCAUGGGCGACUUCUGAUGAUGGGUUGGUGGAAUCCAUGGAGAAGAAGCAGAGCACAAAAUGUGGAGGGCGUUCGUUUUUGUAAAGAUGAUAACGAAAGGAUUUGGCCUGUGCAGGACAGACAGGGAUUUGUCCCCGCCAUACCCUAAAAGGUUAGGUAUUUAUCCAACUACAUCCCCAUAAUUUAAAAUUUCUUUUAUAUACCUUUUUCAAUGUGCAAUUACAGAAUUACCCUAAUUUAAUUCUUCAAAUUUCAAAAUCUACCUUCACGAGCUACCAUACACAACGCCUGCUGUUGCAAGUUCAUGCUCCUGCUGCUGCAAGUUCAUCCACCACAUUAAAGAUUUAUUCAUCUUGGAUCAAGUUUAUGAUCCAACACCUCCCCUUAAACUUGAUCAUGUGACACCAAGCAAACUUUUGAAUUUUACAAAGUCUUCUUGCUUGAGUGGCUUAGUGAAGAUAUCAGCUGCUUGAUCUUGUGAUUUUACAUACUUGAUUUGCACUUCUUUUCUUGCAAUACACUCUCUUAUGAAAUGAUAGCGAGUGUCUAUGUGUUUACUUCGAUCAUGAAAGACUGGAUUCUUGGAUAGGGCAAUUGCUGAUUUGUUAUCAACACAAAUCUCGGUUGGCUCUUCUUGUGCCAAACUCAACUCCUUCAGCAAAUUUCUGAGCCAAAUUGCAUGACAAACACUUGAUGUGGCAGCUACAUAUUCAGCUUCACAGGUGGAUAGAGUGACAAUUGGUUGCUUCUUUGACAUCCAUGUGAAAGCAGUAUCUCCCAUGAAGAACACAAAUCCUGUUGUGCUCUUUCGAUCAUCUACAUCUCCACCCCAAUCGCUAUCGCUAUAUCCAAUAAGCUUGUAGUCAUUAGAAAAUGAGUAUAACAAGCCGAAAUUAAUUGUACCUUUGAUGUAGCGAAGGAUUCUUUUUGCAGCUUUAAAAUGAGUGGUCUUUGGAUUCUCCAUGUAUCGGCUCACAAGUCCAACAGCAUAAAGAAUAUCUGGUCUUGUGCAUGUCAAAUAACGUAGGCUUCCAACCAAACUUUUAAAGAAUGUUGGAUCUAUAUCUUCGCCUUCAUCAUAUUUGGAUAACUUGACUCCGCAUUCCACUGGCGUGCUUAUAGGCUUGCAAUCAUUCAUCUUGAACCUUUUGAGAAUCUCCUUUGCAUAACUUUCUUGGGAGAUAAAUAUGUCUUCUUCCUUUUGCUUGACUUCAAUGCCGAGGUAAUAUGUCAUCAGUCCGAUGUCAGUCAUCUCGAAAGCUUUGAUCAUCACUCUCUUGAACUCUUCAAACAAGCUUGGAUUACUUCCAGUGAAGAUGAGAUCAUCCANNNNNNNNNNNNNNNNNNNNNNNNNNNNNNNNNNNNNNNNNNNNNNNNNNNNNNNNNNNNNNNNNNNNNNNNNNNNNNNNNNNNNNNNNNNNNNNNNNNNNNNNNNNNNNNNNNNNNNNNNNNNNNNNNNNNNNNNNNNNNNNNNNNNNNNNNNNNNNNNNNNNNNNNNNNNNNNNNNNNNNNGAGCAAAUACCUCGUCAUAGUCUAUGCCAGCCUUUUGACUAUAGCCUUUUGCAACUAGCCUCGCCUUGUGCCUUUCAAUUUCUCCCUUCGCAUUUCUUUUUGUUUUAUACACCCAUUUGACACCGAUCGCCUUGUGACCUUUUGGAAGAGUAGUAAGCUCCCAAGCAAAAUUCUUCACAAUGGCUUUGAUUUCUUCAUCCAUUGCAAUUCUCCACUUCUCAUCUAGUGCAGCUUCUUGGAAGUUGACUGGCUCACAAUCAGCAAAGAGGCAAAAGAGAGUGAGAUUAUCAUGUCUCUCAGUUACCUCAUAGAGAUCUUGAAGACUCAUUGUACGUUCUUCGGUUCUUUCAUUUAAGAAAGGCGGCCGUGAAUCUCCACAUGUGGUUGAUGCUGGUGAGAUAGGUAGAGUAGCUGGCUCUUGUUGUUCUUCUACUUAUUUUAUCUUUGUAUUAUCAUCUUCUUUAAUGGGAAAGAAGUUGAAGUCAUCCACACCAGAGCCAAAAUCUCAUUCUCCUUCUUAAUCAAAAACUACAUCUCGACUGAUCACGAUCUUCUCGUUAUUUGGAUUGUAAAGCUUGUAUCUUUUAGAGUUGUUGUCAUAGCCGAUGAAGAUGAACUUCUCACUUUUGUCAUCCAGCUUGGCUCUACUUUCGUCUGGUACAUGUACAAGGGCAAUGCUUCCGAAAACUCUUAGAUGGGUGAUGCCGGCCUUUCUUCCACUCCAAGCUUCUUGUGGCGUCUUGCCCCACACACUUCUUAUUGGAGAUCAAUUGGAUAAGUAGACUGCACAUGCAACAGCUUCAGCCCAAAAUUCUUUAGGUAGCCUCUUACUCUUGAGCAUACUUCUUGCCAUGUCGAGGAUGGUUCUUUUCUUCCUUUCUGCAACACUAUUUUGUUAAGGAGAUCUUGGAACUGUCAAAGGUCGUUGAAUUCCAUUUGCUUUACAAAACUCUACGAAGUCUUUGAAAGUGAACUCUCCACCUCGAUCAAAUCUUAUGGCUUUAUUUUGGUAUCCACUUUCUUUUUCCACUGCAGUUUUAAACUUCUUGAAAGCUUCAAAGACUUCUGAUUUCUGCUUCAAAAAAUACAUCCAAGUUUUUCUUGAAAAAUCAUCUAUGAAGAGAAUGAAGUAGUUACUUUUAUCAAGGGAGCUUGGCUUGAAUGGACCGCAUACAUCAGUAUGAAUGAGCUCGAGUAGCUUAUGAGCUCUUGAGUUUGACUCUUUUGGAAAGCUCUUUUUGAACUACUUGCCAAGUAAACAUCAUUCACAAAGUUGAUCAGGGUGAUUGAUGUAUGGUAACCCUUUCACCGUGUUCUUCUUGAAUAGUAUCUUUAGUCCUCCAAAGUUGAGAUGCCCAUAUCGAAGAUGUCAAGUCUAUGAUGGAUCUUUGUGACAGGCUUUGAGACAUUUUGCAACAUCAUUUUAAAUAUUUAAAGGAAACAUUCUAUUCUUCGACAUUUUCACCUUUAUAAUUAGAUUUCCUUUGUCAUCUCUUAGGAAAAGACUAUAAUCUUUUAAGUGAAUAUCAUAGCCUUUUUCUAAAAGUUGACCCAAACUAAGAAUGUUGCUUUUCAUAUUGGGCACAUAGUAAACAUUCGAAAUUAUUUGGUGGCUACCAUCUUUUGCACGAAAAAGAAUGUUACCUGUCAACACCGGCUUGGUAGUCUUGGUUUGGUCCGGAUUGGUUCAGUUCGAGUUAUCUCGGUUCGACUUGAUUCGGUUCAGCUCGGCUUGGCUUGGUUCAGUUCGGCUCAGCUUGGUUCAACUUGGUGAGUUGACUUAGCUUCAGGACAGAACACUUCCGGCGGCAAGUGUGGGCGUGUCGGGUCUCGGAUCGAGAUGAUUUUUACGAUGUCACGUUCCUCUCGUCGAGAUCUUCAAUUUGAUAUGCUAUAUGACUAUAUAUAGCAUCAAGCACUAGCUCUGAUACCACUUUGUUGGAGAAUUAACAAAUAAAACACACAAAAAACACACUAUUUUAUUUCUUCAAUAACACUCCUCACCAAUUACAACUCUUAUUUUUCACUCUCUACACCUUAGAGAUUUUGCUACUUCACUUGAUGUUUAAACCAAAGGGGAGAGGAGGUAUUUAUACACGAAACAAACUAAUCACAACCAUUCAUUUAUUCAACUAAUAAACAAAUCCUCACAAUCUAUUAAAACCUACCACUCACCUACUUUACCAACCACACCUAACACACCUAACACAAAUAAUUCAAACCUCACCAACCAUACCUACUCAUGGAACCUUCCAUGAGUUGGGCUUGAUUUAUUAAUCCUGGAUCAAGUUUAUGAUCCAACAUGGUGUUGGGGUGAAAGGAAGAACUGCGGGUCUUCCUUCAAAACCAAAAACUAAUAGAAAAAUAAAGGAGGAGAUUUCACAUUUUCACAGAAACAAUAUAUGCAUGCAUGUUAGUAAUUUAUGCCUUCUCUUCUUUUAUUCUGCAAGGAGCUUGACAUUUUCUUCCCAUUUACCCUCAUUUUCAUAAUACUUGUUCCCCCGAUGAUAAAACAUUCGUAUAAACAUUCGUCCUAACCAGAAAGUACAACUUCUUAAUUAAAAAAUUAAAGUUUUGACGUUAAGGGUAACAUAAUAUUAUAAAAAAUAUAGGGGCAAAGUAGUAAAACUAAAAAAUAAAGUUGUAUUUUUUAAAUUGUACUUUUCAAAACUACAAACAAUAGAACUCAACAUUUUUAGAAGCUGAGUCAAUAGUAUCCUUAAUUUCUCUUUCAACAUUAAUAAUCAUACAAUUUUUUAAAAUUUUUUUUUUCAUCUUACUAUCGAGUGUCAAAUGAUGCAUGCCUUGAUAAAAUUUAUAUAUUGUUAUGAAAUAAUUAUAAUUUAUAUGGAUGUUCAUUAAAGCAUCCUUUUAUUUCCUCACAAUCAACUUUUCAUCUCUUAUAACUCCUAUUAUCUCCUUAAUUUAAGGAUUAUUGUCUCUUACAAUUAUGAUGUAUUACUUACUAUUUUAUGGUUGUAUCAAUAUAAAAGGAGACUUUUACUCCUUAUUUGUAUACACUUGGAAGUGUGAAUAACACACAAGAGAUUGAAUAAAAUUCCUCUCUACACACAUUAUGUCUCUUAUUUGCUUUCUUUAUUUCUCUUGCUAUAUGGUUGUGCUCUUAAUUAAUAGAUUUUAUAAUACGUUAUCAGCACGAGUCUCAAGCCACAAGAGAUCAAUUUUCAUCCUCUUUAAAAUAUGGUAAUAUCUCAUCUUUAAUCUUACUCAUAAAAUUAUGAGGUAACAAUCUUGAUUUUGUCUGAGAUAAUAUUUAUAUUUGCAUAUCUGCUGUACCGUACAUCCGCCUUGGCCGUACAGCAGCCUCUUUUAACUCCUCGCCAUUUCUUUUUAAUUCAUUGGAAACGGUCACAACUCGAGUAAAGUAGUCAGAAAUUGACUCCGACGCCUUCAUGUGUAAGGACUCAAAUUCUCCUCGUAAUGUUUGGAGACGAACCUUCUUAACUUGUUCCGCUCCUUUGUAAGAGGUCUCUAGUUUCUCCCAUGCUUCUUUUGAGGAGGUUGUACCAGCAAUUUUUUCAAAAGCAUCUUCAUCUAAUGAUUGAAAGAUGAGAUACUUUGCUUUAUUCUCUUUCUUCUUCAAGUCUUUUAAAUUCUCCUUCUGCGCCGCAGUUAAAGUGGCUUCAUUUUCUGGCACAAUAAAGCCUUUUUCCACGACAUCCCAUACGUCAUGUGCGCCCAAUAGAGCCUUCAUUUUAAUACUCCAAUUGUCAAACUUACUUCCCUUUAAUUGUGGAACUUGAAAUGACAUCAUACCACCGUUUGCCAUAACUCACAAAUUGAGUGAGAAUUUGGAGAUUCUGAAAGCACAAAUGGAUCCGGCACGUCGAAAAACCUUGGGAAUGACUCGAGUCAACUUUCGGUCAACGGUUAACGGUCAACGCUGGUCAAUGGUCAACGUCGGUCAACGGUCAACACCGGCUUGGUAGUCUUGGUUCGGUCCGGAUUGGUUCAGCUCGAGUUGGCUCGGUUCGACUUGAUUCGGUUCAGCUCGGUUCGGCUUGGUUCAACUCGGUGAGUCGACUCAGCUUUAGGGCAGAAAACUUCCGGCGGCAAGUGUGGGCGCGUCCGGUCUCCGAUUGGGAUAAUUUUUGCGGCGUCACUUUCCUCUCGUCGAGAUCUUCGAUUUGAUAUGCUAUAUGACCAUAUAUAGCAUCACGUACUAGCUCUGAUACCACUUUGUUGGAGAAUUAACAAAAUAAAACACAAAAAACACUAUUUUAUUUCUUCAACAACACUCCUCACCAAUUACAACUCUUAUUUUUCACUCUCUACACCUUAGAGAUUUUGCUACUUCACUUGAUGAUUAAACCAAAGGGGAGAGGGGGUAUUUAUACAUGAAACAAACUAAUCACAACCAUUCAUUUAUUCAAUUAAUACACAAAUCCUCACCAUCCAUUAAAACCUACCACUCACCUACUUCACCAACCACACCUAACACACCUAACACAAAUAAUUCAAAGCUCACCAACCAUACCUACUCAUGGAACCUUCCAUGAGUUGGGCUUGAUUUACUCAUCUUGGAUCAAGUUUAUGAUCCAACAUAAAGGUGAUAACGAAAGGAUUUGGCCUUUGCAGGACAGAAUUACUGUUUUUAUUCGAUGUGCUACAAUUAAUUAAUGAACGAUAUAUCUAAUUAAAUUUAAUAAUAAAAAAAAUUAUUAUUUUUUAUCUGUAAAUAUAAAUAUCUCAAUUAAUAUUAUCUUUAAAUAUUACUAAGAAGUAAAAGUUGUUUAAGUGUGUGUGUAUAUAUAUAUAAUUAUAAUACAUACAUACGUGUGUGUAUUCAACUGUUUAUUCUUAUCAUAUGAUUGAUAUGAUACGUAUUCUAAAAUUUAUUUUAAUUUGAGAUAUUUAGUUGAUAUAUUAAUUAAUGUAUUAGGGAUAAAAUUUUAUUAUUUAAAUAAAAAAUAAAAAAAAUUAUUAUUUUUUAUCUGUAAAUAUAAAUAUCUCAAUUAAUAUUAUCUUUAAAUAUUACUAAGAAGUAAAAGUUGUUUAAAUGUGUGUGUAUAUAUAUAAUUUGUGUGUGUGUGUGUUCAAUUGUUUAUUCUUACUUAAAAUAUCAAGAAUCCUAUCAUAAGAAUGGAACUCGAAUCCGUGAACCCAAUAUUGGGUGGGAAUAUGGGAUGGGUGCGAGUACAGUAGGGGGAGCCCACUCGAUUGGCGUUGGGUACGUAACGUUGGAGGCGAUGAAAACAAAACUCAAUUAAUUCCUCUCCACAAACAAGAGCUUUUGCGAAUCACAGAUGUGACCUAAUGAAAAGUGAUAACGUGAUAAGUGUCAUUCAAUUAUUGAUAGAUACUUUUGACAUCUGGAAACAUGUUGAAAAAUUAUGCAUAAUUGUGUCUCGCAGCAAAUUACAUUUGCAGUGUGGUCGCUUAAGUCAGUUCUCUGAAAUAAUGGGCAUGGUGCAUCCAUCCAUCUUGCGGACGGCGGAAUAACAAUGAAAGGUGAAUUUAGAGCUAGGUUAAAUCGAAUCAAACUGUAGUUUCUUUUUCACAAAUUGGCUCCUAUACAAUUCAACUCUUUAAUAUUCAAUCCUCAUUCAUAAGCUUGAUUAAUUAAAAUAGUUAUUAAAAAGCCAAAAAAAAGAGAUAGAGAGAGAACAUUGGAGUACAAGUAGAUAUAUAAUUAAAUAACAUUGAAUAUAGUUCAUAAUAUAUGAUGGUCCAGUUGGUUGGCAGGACAAUAAGCAAAUGUUGGGUUGGUGAUGAAAUAAAGAGUCAUUAAAUAUGAAUGACAUACACAAUAAAAGAAAAAAUCUAUAUAUGAACGACAUACGCAGUAGAUGGAUGAUUUGAUGUGCAUAUUUAAUUACUCUUUAUUUCAUUGUCGUGAAUAAAUUAAAAAUUGAUUUUAUUGCCAUUCAAUUUGAUAAUUUUAAGUAAUUUUCUUGUGCUGAUCAACUAAAUUUCGAAUCUUAAAAAUAAUAGGGGCUACAAAGUAAUUUGUAUUUUAAAAAACAAAAGAAACAUGACGAUAGAAAGUUAAUUCGGUGAACAAGCUUAUGCUGGUUGAACAGUGCAUACAACCAGCUAAAGGUCUACGAGUCAGAAUUUUGUGUUUUCUUGCCUAGCCUUUUAUUUUUAGGGUUUGUGUAAAUAAAAGUCAUAUAAAUGAAACAUUAUCUUAAUAUUAAAUUGUGUAACCACUUUGACUAGCUAGUAAAAGGCUGCCAUUCCAUUAGGAAAUCCAACAUAAUUUUCAAGGGAUCACUCUCUCCGCUGGCAAUUUUGCCCGCCAACCCAAAAAUCUCAUUUGUUAAAAUUAUGACUAAUAACUAGUACAAGGAGGAAAGGUAGUGUUAGUACAAUCUGAUAAUUGUCACAUAUAUAUUAGCAAAAGGAUGAGUAUAUUGAUACAAAUUUAAACUUUUUUUUUCCAUUUUAUCCCUAACUAUCUAUUAUAUUAUUUUAAUUUCUAAUUUUUGUGAAAGUCUAGCAAGUAGUUGUCUUGUCAUAUUAUUAUUAUUAUUAUUAUUAUUAUUAUUAUUAUUAUUAUUAUUUGAUAAGGUCUUAUCAUUAUUUGGUUUCAAGUAAGAAGAGAGAAAGUUAGUAAGAGGAUGAAAAUUUUACAAAAACUUGUUAAUGGCUGUGGUAAUUAAGUCAUUUGAAAUUUUCUUUUUUUUUAAUUCACUUUUUCUUGUUUUAAAACAAAUAAUGAGUUUUCAUACUUAUAAUAAUUCUUAUAAACUUCAUAUGUUUUGGCAUAAAAUUAGGUAAUUGGAAAGGCCCUCGUGUUGGAUGAAAUUAUCAAUUACAUGUAGCCCCUACAAAAUCAAUUGGAGGCAACAUUGCUACUAAAAAAACCUUAUUAACACAGUAAUAAUGAAUUAAUCUUCUUUAAUUUACUGUUGUAUUCCUGUACACUUUUAUUUUUAUUUAUUGAGUUUUGCAUUUUUUUUGCCACUAUUUUCUCUUAAUUUCAUGCAUUACUUUUUACUAUUCCCAGGUCUUUCUAUGCUGGUUUUGGAUAACUACAGUUGCUAGUUGUGAUUUAUUGUAGCCUACUAUUGUAGGUCUUUAUAGUUGGCGAGUUUUGUUUAUUGCAGCUACUUUAUUAAAGCACUUUUGCAUAUUGAAGUUUAUGGCUAACCUUUAUUAGAUACUUCUAACUUUUGUCCAUACAUUUUCUUAACUUUUGCAGUGAAGAUUUUUUUUUUUUUUGGUUUUUCAAGUAAUUUAAUUCUUAAUAAGGAGCCGCCUAUGUUGCAACAGUUGCAACAUACAACAACUUUUGUUCUUUUGUGUUUGAUUACACUACACUACAUUAUAUUUUUUGUAAAAUUUAAUAGCCACUAAAAGUAACAAACGUUUACAUAUAAGUCCAUUUUUGAAAUAAAAUGAUUUAACUAAAGGAAGAUUGUCAAUUCCUCCCCUACUGUAAUUAAUAUUUAUGAUUUGCGCCCUCAUAUUUUUAUAAUAGCCAAUAAUCCCUCAACAAUAUAAGUUUACAAUAUUACCCUUGUUUUUAAAUACACUUUUAUUCAUAUUUAUUAUAGAUUAAAUAAAUCAUGUGAAUGGAAAUUAAAAUAAAAAAAUUAAGUAUAAAAAAUACUGCUGUACGGCCAAGGCGGAUGUACGGUACAGCAGAAAUGGCAUUUUAAUAACUUAUAAUAGCCUAUUCCAAUUAUAAAAUAAAGUAAACACAUCAAUUGGAAUGUUGUUCAUUCUGAUUCCAAUUUGUAUAGCUCAAGUAAAUAACUUAUUCCAAUUCAAAUUUCUUAUUACAAUUCUAGCUCAUUUCAAUUCUUAUUUAAUAAACGCACCAUUAGAAUGUGUUUAGAACAUAAUAUUGUAUAUUGUUAUAAUAUUGUUCACAUUAAUUUAUUACUUACCUAUGUUUGGAAGUUUUAAAAGUUAGAUUGUAAAAGUUACAUUAAAUAUAUUUAAAUUAUAUUUUUUAUUUUUACUAUAAUAAUUAUAAUAUUAAAAAUAAAUCUGCUGUACCGUAUAUUUUAUUAUAUCAUAUUAUGUUUAUAUAUUAAUAAUUAAUAAAUUUAAAUAAUGAGAGUAGAUCUAGAAAUGAUAGUAAUAAUUAAUAAAUUAUGAAAUAUUUAUGAAUUUGUGGAAUAAAUAAACGAGUAUUAAAUCAUGCAUUGUAAUUGCCCAAUAUCAAUAAUAAAAGUCCUCUUAAAUUUCAUACUUAUUCCUUAUUCAUAUCAUUUAACAACUAAACUAAUAAAUAAAAUAAUUAUAAUUAUAUUUUUUUCCUGACAUUUCAAAAAACAAGAGGGAUUGCAAUGAAAAAAACCAAAAUAAAUACACCCUACCAUUGGAUUUGCUUUUACCAUUCUUGCCUUGGAUCCAAUGGUUAAAUUAUAAAAUGACAAAAGUAGUGGUAUGUUGGAACUGUUGCAACAUAGGCGGACCCAAUAUCCUUAAUAAUAUUUUCUAACAAAAUCAAUUAUAGAAACAAUCAGGAAAAAACAAGUAAAAUUGUUGUAAACUGUCUUCCGUUAAUUCAUCGUGGUUGAUCAACUCACAUGUGCAACAUCUAAAUCAAAUGGUACUUGAAACAAUAGAGACUUUUUUUUAUGACUUUUAUCUUUAUAUUUCUUUGCAAGGAACAAUAUUUAUUUGGAUUGCAAUGUCAUGCUUUGUAUUUGAGUCUUUUGGAUUGUAAUUACAUAUUUUAAAUCCUUUUUCACGUGACUACAAUUUUUUUGGUCACUAAAUUUCAAUUUAUGCCACUACAAUAUGUUGUUGUGGAUUUUUUUUUUUUAAUGAUGAUUGAGAGAAGUCACUUCAAUUUUUUGGAUACGAUAUAAAUAGUAGUCAAAUAAUAAAAUAUAUUGUGGUUAAAAAUAAUGUGAGACUACAUUACACAUAUUUUGCAAUGAAUGGAUCUAUCACAAAAUGUUAAUUUUUAUGACUAAAUGUAGUUGUUGCAAAGGUCAUCUAACUGGUCAUGCAAUAACAAAAUAAAUUGUCCUUAAAACAAUUUUUUUAUUUGGGAUGAUUAUGUAACGUUGUGAUAUAUAAACUUCAACAGUAGAAAAAAGCGUUGCUAAUUACAUUUUCGAACCUCUAAAAUGACGAAUUUUAGUAAUUAUUGUGACUAUAUUUUACAUAAUCUUGAGAUAGAUAUUAUGGUCACUAUAAAUCAUCUAUUAUGACAAAUGUCAAGUGUCAUUGAUUACAUUUUUGAAUCUCUAAUUUGACCAUUUUGAAUACCAUUUGUGAUGAUUUUAACUUAAUUUUAAGACAAUGAUUUUUGUCACAAAAAUAUAUUUUUAAAUUUAGCUUGACCCAAAUCCAACACGGGUCAUUGGGUCGUGUUCGUGUCGUGUCAACUUCGGGUCGUGUUAAAUUUAGCUUAACUCAAAUCCGACCCAUUUAAUAAUCGUGUCAAAAUAUUGAGACACAAACCCAACACAGAAAAAUAAUCAGGUUACCCAAUAACCUAAAUUUAUUAAUCUGCUGUACCGUACAUCCGCCUUGGCCGUACAGCAGUAUCAAUAUUAUAAAAUAUACAUGUCUACCAAUAUUUUACGCAUUUACACUAUUGAAUCUCUAAAUGUAUUUAAAAUUUUAUAAAUAAAACACUAUGUUUAUAUUCAUCCUUUUAAAGAAUAAAAAUAAAAGAGAAAAUAAUCUCUAAUAUUUGAGUUUUGAUGACAAGAACUUGUGAAUUAUUUUAAAAUAGAAAAUAUAAUUGGGUCAUUGAUCGGGUAAAUGGGUCAAGAAUUUUAACCCUAACCCGAUACGGAAAAAAAUCGUGUCAACCCAAACCCGACUCAUUUAAUAAUCGUGUUAAAUUUGAUGACCCAUACCCAUUUAUUUAUGUUGUAUUCGUGUCGGGUAAUCGGGUUGUAUCAAAUUUUACUAGCUCUACAUGUGACAAUUUAUUUUUUAUCGUAGAAAAUAUAAAGUAACCAACCUGUCAUCUUUAGUGACUAAAUUUUUUUAUAAUAAAAUAUCAUUUUUCUUGUAAAGUGAAUUGAAACAAUAGUUUAGAUCAAAAUAGGUAGGAUAUUGAAUUGGCGUUUAGAGAUUACCACCUAACAAUGAAGGGUAAGCAAUGAGUGAAAAACUGAGGAGACUAAUAAUAGUUAUUAAUCAUAGAACUCAAUCAAUGCUAACAUAAUUCUAUGACCAAAAUGAUGGCAAUAAUGCUACUUUGAAUAUAGUCCAUAAUAUAGUUUCCAAUACAUAACAAUGAAUAUAGUUCAUAAUAUAUGACAGUCCAGUUGGUUAGCAUGCAAAAAGAAAAUGUUGGGUUGGUGAUCAAAUAAAGAGUGAUUAAAUAUGAAUGUCGUAUUCAUGAAAAAAACAAUAUAUGAAUGAGAUAUUCAGUUGAAUAUGUUCAGAUAUGUCAAGAUCCUGCCAUUAUUGAUGAUUUCAUGUGCAUAUUUAAUCACUCUUCAUUUUAUUGUCGUGAAUAAAUUAAAAAAUUGAUUUUCUUGUCAUUCAAUUUGAUAAUUUCAAGUAAUUUUCUUGUACUAAUCAACUAAAUUUCGAAUCAUAAUAGGGACUACGAAUUAAUUUAUAUUUUGUUCAUCCUAGUUUUUAAAAAAGAAAAGAAACUUGACGACGGAAAGUUUGGUGAACACAUUUAUACCGGUUGAAUAGUGCAUACAACCAGGCACCAGCUAAAGGUCCAUGAGCUAGAAUUUUGUGUUUACUUGCGUAGCCUCUAGGGUUGGUGUAAAUAAAAGUUUUAAAUGAAACAUUAUCUUAAUAUUUAAUAGUGUAUCCACUCUGACAAGUACAAGGCUACAAUUUCAUUAGGAAAUCCAACAUGAUUUUUAAUGGAUCACUCUCUUGGAUGGUAAUAAUACCCGCCACCCAAAAAAUCUCAUUUAUUAAAAUUAUGACUAACAAUUAGUAAAACGAGCAAAAGUAGUGUUGAUACACAUUGAUAAUAGUCACAUAUUAUGAUUUUGAUAUGAAUUGAAGCAAUCGAUAAAAAUAGGUAAGAUAUUGAAUUGGCGUUUGUAGAUUACCACCUAACAAGCAGGGGGGAAGCAAUAGGUGAAAAGGUGAGGAGACUAAAACGAUAGUUAUUAUUUAUUAAUAGUGAUGGCCAAUUGCCGGCACAGCCCAUCAAACAUCGGCCCACAUGGGCUCGUGGGCCGGCACAGCACGGCCCACCAAUGCCGUGCCGUGCCAUGGGUCGUAUCCAAAAAUGCCCGCCAAACUUUUUUUUGUUUUUCCUUUAAGACAUGUCCAGCGUGCCUAAAAAAGUUCACAUGUCUGGCGUGUUUUUUUCAAGUACCUGACGUGUGUUUUUUAAUCCCACCAGCCUAAUAAUAAUAAUAAUAAUUUCAUAAAUCAUAGUAAUGAUUAAUGAAAAAUAAAAUUACAAUUCUAGAAUAACAAUUAUACCUAAUUUUAUUUGAACUACUAAUAUUAUAAUUGCACUUGAACUCCAUUGAAUGAAAAUAUAAUUUUUAAUUUAUCAUAAAAAUAUUUUGUUCAUAAGUUUUUUUUUUUUUUUGUGCAUAAAUAUGAAAAAUCUUUCAUUCACAAAUGAAACAUAUCUCCAUUAUCUAUUAACUAAGUUAUGAUUUCAUAAAUGAAAUAUUAAUGUCGUAAAAUUUUUUAUUUAUCAUUUAUAAAAUCAUGAUAUUUAUUUAUCCAUUUAAUAAUUUAUAAACAUAAAAAAUUAGAAUAUUUAUUUAAACUAGAACUUAAAUUAAUUUUUAAAAGUCUAUGCUAAAAAAAUAUAUUAAAAAUUUUAAUUACAAGAUAUUUGUAAAUUCAUGAUAUUUUAUAUUUAUUUUUCAUUAAAAAAUUUUACUUUGAUAUACUUUGGUCCACGUGCUAUUGAUGGCCCAUGGGCCGCAUGCUUAACUCACCAAUGAAGCGUGCUUAGAGCAUCUCCAAAAGCCUCUAUAAAUUUUACUCUUCAAAUAUCUAUUUGCUUACCUAUGUGGCAAAUAAAAUGGUGAAAAAAUAUGAUAUUCUCCAAAAGACUCUUCAAAUAGAAAUAAGUUAAUAUUAUUUUAAUCAAAUAAUUAUUUUUUUAAGAAAAAGUCAAUAAUAAUUAAAACACUUCUCUCUCUUUCUUCAAUGAAAAGUAAUAAAAUAUAAAUUGAAGAGAGAUAAAUCAACUCUCCAAAUUUAAAGAGAGAGAGUCAUUUCUUAUUUGAAGAAUCUUAAUUAGAGUGUCUUUUGGAGCUUUAAAUAGUAAUAUGACUCUUCAAAUAAGUAAUAAAAUUUAUUACUUAUUUGAAGAGCCUUUUGGUGAUGUUCUUAUUACGUACCUUUUCACGUGCCGUGCUUUGACUCAUCUCUAAUCAUGCCGUACUUUUAAGGCCUACGUACCUAAAAUUCUAGGCCCGGUAUGGUCCGCGUGCGUGUUGUGCCCGUGCUGUGCCUCGUGCCGCCCGGCCCAUUGGCCAUCUCUAGUUAUUAAUCAUAGAACUCAGUCGAUGAUAACAUAAUUCUAUGACCAAAAUGAUGGCAAUAAUGCUAUUUUGCCCUAAUACAGAUCAGUAUGACCAAAAUGUUGAAGAAGACCCAUAUGAAUGCAUGUUUUAAUUGCAAGCCAUUUUAUAGCUUUGGCACAUUUUCAGUUUUCACAUUAUUGUUAUCUAUUAUCAUAAAGAAUAAUGAUACUCGUAGGAAAAAAGGCACAAAAAUACAAAAGACAAAAAAUAUACAUUUGACUUAUAAAUAAAUAAAUAUUGUCUAACACUGAAUUUUUUUUUUUCUAAUGCUGUGCUAUUUUUUGUGCACAUAUCACUAUUCUAUUGCUAAUGAAAUGCAGGGCAUUUGAGUCCUUUCAAUAAUUCAUGUAUUUUUUUAUUCUACUUUGCUUCGUGCAAGGUAGCAUAAUUGUUAGUUUCUGCUAAUUCUACUGAGUGAUGAUACAAUCACCGCAUGGCCGGAGAGCCCGAGGUUAGGCCUAAAAAGUCCCCCCAAAAACAAAGUUCAACAUAGAAUGAUACUAUUUGUACAUAAGACAAGAAACAUUCCACUAAAAAAUAAAUUCAUUUAUAUAGACAUAUAAAAUAUACUCCUAAAAUUUCAUUCUAAAUAAUGUGGCAUAUGAUAUUCAUUCAUUAAAUUGUUAAUGAUUUUUUAUAAAUUUUAAGCGAAUUAAUUACAUUAUCUCAUCAAAUAAUGAAUGAAUGUCAAAUUAAUUGAGGUGAAAUUUUGUGAUGCAUAACACUACUCUCUUUAAUUUUAUCCAUAUGUACAAGUUAACAGAGCUUGAGUUUUUAGAGUAAUGGCUCACAUUACUCAUUGAUUAAUAUAAUCAGAGAUUAACAAAAUAUUGUUACAGAUCCUGAGAACUAGUGUUGUGAUUUUUGUAGUUGAGAAAAGAUAGGAAAAUAAAAAAUAAAAAAUAUUUGAAAAAAUAAUAGUUACAACUAAGGAUAAUAAUUUGCUGUUAUGCUCCCUAAAGACGGAGCUUGGGAGAGAAGUCCAAUCUUGACCUUGAGAGUGAGAAAACGGGCUCAUGGAAGAGGCUUGGUGAGAGCUUCAGCUAUCUGAUAUGCAGAAGACACAUGAGUGACAUGAAGAGCACCACGUUGGACUUUAUGUCUUAUGAAAUGAAAGUCAAUAGCAACAUGCUUCAUUCUUGAACGAAAAAUGGGACUAUAACAGAGUUGAUUGGCCCCAGUAUUGUCACACAGUAUAUAACAUUCUAUAACAGAAAAGACUAACACCAAGAUCAAAUAAGAGAUAGCAAUCCCGAUUUAGAUCCAUCAAUAAAACCAAAUAGAUCAUAGACAAUGAAUAAGAUAUUAAAUUGCAACUUCCAUGAGAUGUAGUAACAUUGAUAGUGAUACUGGUGUUGUGAGUUUCAUUGGUGUUGUAAAUGGUGGUGGAGGAUGAAGGAUUGGUCGGGAUGACUGGAUAAAAGACAAAGAAGAGAGAAUUGGCUACCACUUAAAAUUGAUAUGAUACCAUAACAGAGCUUGAAUUUUUAGAGGAAUUACUCACAUUUCUCAUUGAUCAAUGAUCAAUGAACAUAUAUAUGCAAUAUGAGGCUGACAAAAUAUUAUUAAAUGCCCUAGAAAACUAGUUCUGUGAUAUUUACAAUUGAGAAAAAUUUAGAAAAUACAGAGCUAAAAAAAUAUUUGAAUAAAUAAUAGUUAUAAUAAUAUGUUGUUAUAAGUGUCCUCAUUCUAUUUGUCAUAUGCAAUUUUGUGUGUAAAUAACAUUAUUCUUAAUUUUUAUUUUUAUUUGUCCGUUAACAUAAGGGGUUUGGGCUGAUCAAACAUCAUUUUCCAAUUCUAUUACUCGACUCGUGACAUGACGGUGCUGAGCUAGCAACUUACUAGGGCUAACAGUGAUUUAGUUGCACGCUGAAUAGACUUGAAACAGGGGUUUAAAAGCUGGUCACCAGUGCACAUUUCUAAGCAAUUUUCUUGUUAUUGAGUGAGAUUAAAGAAGAUUGCAAACCGGGAAAUUGUUCUCUGAGGAGUGCAUAAUGUAACCUUUAGUUGGCAUUCGUUGAUGAAACAUGCUUAUUGUCACGGGAUAAAUAUUUUACGCAGCAACUCAUGUGGUACUUAAAUAAUUUUUAGAACAAAAAUUGUUAAGUAAGCCUAGAGAAUUUCUCAAGCUAGCCAAACAAGGAUACUUGAGAGAAAGCUAGAGAGAGGAGAGUAAUAUGGCCAAAGUAAAUUUUAUUACUCGAAAGAGAAAAUAUAAGAGAGCUUUACAAUAAUGCUUGAGUUGCUUGCUUGGUGUGUUAGUGUAUGGUGUGGUGUUUAGUGUUGUGGUUGAGCAAAAUGAUUGACGUCAUGCCUUAUUUAUAGAGUGACUCGUCUAGAUCUAGAUGGUUCCUUGCAAGUUUUUGUAAGUUGCCUAAAAAUCUAUUAGAUUCUAGAUUACGUAAGUGUAUAAUUAUUUAGACAAUAUAAGUUGCAAAGAUUUAUAAAGAGUUCUAGAAUCAGGCUGGACUCACUCACUUUAAUUUGUGAAUUUACUAGUAUACCACGAGUCGCUAAUUAUAUGAGGCAGCUCACUGUUGAGCAUAUUCUACUGUUGAGCGCAUCCUAUCUUUGAGCGGACUUUUAUUGAGCAAACCCUUGUGCGUGAAUUUAGUCUCCGUGACAAACUUGAGUGGGCUGUGAGCGUGACAUUACGCUGUUUUCUCUCUUGGACGUAGGCAACCUUACCAAGCCACGUAUAUUGUCCUCAGUGUUCUUGAUUUUGUUUUGCGUUGUUAAUUCAUCACGAGGACAAGACUAAAUAACAAAAGUUUUAAGCACAAAAUAAAAUAGAAGAAAGGGAAGAUACGCAACCUUGUGCAGAGCAGGCCAGCACAGCUCUUCUUGUUCUGGCUUUCUGAGGUGGAUGGCCCCACUACAAUAAUUUUUAAUAUUUUAAAGAAAAAGGAAACCAACAAUCUUCACAAAAACCCGGUUCCCCGUUUAACAUAAAGAUUUAUUUUUAUCAAAAAAAGAUAAAGAUUUAUUAAAAAAAUUUGUAAGAGUGAAGUAACUGUUAUGAGUUUUAUUGUGGAUUUCAUCUAACUCAAUUUUAUGAAUUGUUUGAAUUCCAUAAACUCCCGCUAGUGGUUCAUAUCUAUGGCGGAGGCUUUUGCAUCUAUUAAUUCUGCCUUUCAUCCUACUUACCAUAAUUAUGUUAAUAUCUUGGUCUCUGAAGGUAAAGUUAUUGCGGUCUCCUUUGACCAUCGACGACCUCCAGAGAAUCAUGUCCCUUGUGCUCUUGAAGAUUCAUGGGCUGCACUCAAAUGGGUUGCUUCCCAUGCUAAUGGACAAGGUCCUGUGGAUUGGCUUAACCAUUAUGCUAAUUAAAUGAAGUGAUUUAGAAGAAAAAAGAAUCACAAGUUAAAAGAGAGGCAAAUUAAUUGCAUAUAAACAUGGCCAAUUUUUUAAUUUUGAAAAAAAAAAGUAAAGCCUGGAUUUUUGAGACUUUAAAUGUGGUUGAGUAAACAAUUGGAAGAACCAAACCUCUAAACUGAUUUAAAAAUUUUUGAACCAAGUGCCCAAAUCUAAAUUCUUAGAUCCGCCACUUCUUAAUGAAGCUAGCUCAGGCUUUUUUAUCUUCUUAUAUAAGCAACCUUAUCAAGCCGCAUAAAUUGUUCCUGCAGGUUGUUCUCGAUUUGAUAUAAUUUGCUUCUCUCUUUGAUCUUUCAUUGAUUUUGCCCAUCUCUUUGAUCUUUCAUUCGUUAAUCUUGUUCUUAAUUAACGUUAAAAGUUCCUGGUAACGAAACAAUGUCCGUAUGAUUUGAAACCAAAGAGAAAUAUGAUGAAGAACAACAUUAAAUUAAUAGUACACACAUUACUGAGUUUCCGGUGAUCACAUCAGAAUACAUUAUCUCGAUUUAAAAAUGAAGCUAAUUUAUCCAUCAAGGGCACAGCCUCUUCAGAAUCUAGAUUGAACAAAUAAAACACGUGAUCCUCUCCUUGUGUCUCCACAAUCUCAGUUUCUCCAGCCCACCCACAAUUUUCAAAGUCUCAUAAUCAAACAAUCCCGUCUCUCCAAUUGUCCUUCUCAGUAACACAAACAAGAACCCUGGGGCACCUCAGGCUUCUUAGCCCAGAGUCAGCAGCUGGUUUUAUUCUCACAUCAUUGAACCCACUUAUAUAUGGACAUACAAAUUACCCAGCAGUUAUCAACUACUCCAUAAUUUCUCCCAAAAUAUGGCUGAACCAAGUAAAUUCCUGACAGUUUUAUCCCAUUCAAGUCAUCAAAACUCGCUUGAAAUGCCAUGCUGUGCACAAUAUUGCCGCCAGCACUGUUACCGCGUAAAAACACAAGUAAAAUUAGCACGAGUGUUUUGCCCAGCUUCAUAACCAUGAGCACUGAUCUUAAAAUGAGAAGCAACCCAUUUGAGAGCAGCCCAAGUCUUCAUAAGCUGCAGCGACCAAGUGUUCAGGGGCUAAUCUGUAAUCAACUGAGACUACAAUAACAUUUGCUUUGGCUGAAUGAGAGCCGACAUAGUUGUGGUACGUGGAACAAAAUGGUGAGCCCAUGAAUAAGCCUCCGCCGUGAUAAUAGAAGAGGGAGCUUUUGGUUUGUUUUAAUGGCGGCUGAAGGGAUGAAGAUUCUUGCUGUUACGCCUUUCUCUGGCACAAUAACUACAUCUUUGGAGCAGGCAGCAUUUGGGGAAUCCACUGAUGCUGAAACUUUAUCGGCGCCAAAGAACCCUUCCCCAUGCCCAUCUGUAUGCACGAAAAUAUGGAAGAAACUCAUGUGCAACUGCUCUUGAUUUUGAAUCCAUUGUUGGAUUAGAGUGAUAAUACAACCACAAACUCUUGUAUAAAUUUAUCUUGUACAAAUUGACGUAACAUUAAUUUAUUGAUUGAAUGAAAAUAUAAAAUAAUAAAAAUAAAUCAUGUCUUAUCAUGUAAUAUCAGUUUGUACAAAAUAAAUUUAUAUAAGAAUUUGUGACUAUUAUAUAAAGAGCAGCAGUACAAAGACAUUAUGAAAAAUUGCUUAAAAAUAUAUAUAUUUUGACAGUUUGGUUUCUUUGGUUGGUGAUUUCGUGCUUUCUGGGACAGAAAAAGGACCAAGUUUGGUCGUGUUUGUCAUAAAACUUCUUUGCUUUUAUCGGAAAAAUUGUAAAAUGAAACAAAGCCACGCAAAACCGGCUGUACUAGUAAUUAUCUUAAUUUUCAAGUUAUAAUAGUUAGUAUUUGUCAAAUACUUAAUAUUAUACAUUUUAAUUUACAACUGUCUAACCUUAAUUUUAAAUAAGGCAUUACUCACAAAAACCAAUUCUUAAAGUAUGAGCGUAUGUGAACUUCACUUAUACUGUCAUCUACUAUUUAAAUUGUUAUAUUUAGCUCAUGUGGGGUAGGACUUAGGAUCCCUAUCUAUUUAAGAAAGAUUUGACAUAAAUAUAUAUAAUGUUUAUAAAUCAUAAUGUCGAUUUUAAAAUCAUGGCAAUUUAAUUUCUAAAAUAGUGCAAUUAACUAUCCAUUGAAGCAAACUUUGCCACCUUAAUUUUUUUAUUGCAAAAAUCUGUAAGAAAUCGAAUUGAAUUGAAUUACAAAAUUGGGAUGAUGAUAGCGGCCAGAACAUGAAAGCCAAACAUCUCACGUUUUUGCUAAGGAAAUUCAUUCGGUAAUUGGCCAUGUGUCCAGUUGUGAGUUUCGUGACACUUUUCCAUCAGACUUUCAACGGAUAAAAUAAAAAAAAUUUGACAAUAAUAGUGGGCUUUACGUUAAUUAAUAGAAGAAUAUGAGUAUUUAAGGGUCUGUUCGGCAACGUGUUAUGGGCUCUAUUUUCAUUUUCCUUUUAUGAAUCUAAGUUAAUACAUGUUUGAUGGUUGAAAUUUAAAAAAAAAAUUGUAAAAUAAAUAAGCUGAGAUUCACUUUUAUAACUAUUAAAGUGAGAACAUGUUUAACAUGUUCUCCACGUAUUACAAAACUAAAUUAAAAAAUAAAAUCUAAAAGUCUCGGCCUUAUCUCUUUAUCCUUAUUUCUUUGUCCAAUAACGCUGACUCUCGCUCUUUAUCCCUCUCAAUCUACUAACAGUGGCGAUUAUUCUCUCUCGAUGUGCCCAAAUCAGCUGUCGUACUCCAUCUUUGUUGUCGCUGCUACUUCAUCUCAACCACUGUUGUUCCUCCAUCUCUGCCGAUGCUGCUCCAUCUCAACUAUCUCAUUUGUUGUUGCUCCUCUCUCGACUCCAUCUAUGCUAUUGUGAGUUAUUGGUAUUUAUUUAGGGUAAUUAUCCACCAUCCACCUAUUUUUUUAUACUUUUUCAAAAAUACACAAUUUUUUUUUUUUACUGAGCUCCACUUGACGUUUUAUUUUUUUGCACAUGUCCAUUGCCAUCUUCAAACCGUUAAGAAAACUAACGGAAUAUUAUCCAAAUUAAGUUUUUGAAGCAUAGGUGAAAUUAUUAUUAUACCCUUAUGACGUCAGAAAAGUCUUAUCGGUUUGAAGACGACGGUGGACAUGUGCAAAAAAAUAUAAUUUUAAGUAGAGCUCAGUAAAAAAAAUUAAGAAUUGUAUAUUUUAAAAAAAGUGUGAAAAAACAGGUGGACGGUGGAUAAUUACUUUUUUUUUGUAUUUGAGUAAAUUUUUACUAAUUAUUAUCAUACUAUUUUGUUUUGUUUUGUGAUCAUGAUCAUGAAAUAAAAAUUGUGGCUAAUAAAGUCCAAGCCCAACUCGACAAUAUAAAUAAAGGAUCCGAACCCGAUAAAAAGCCUGAAUUUUCACUUUCGGAGACCCAACCUUAAUAUUUUUUUAAUAUUUAAAUAUUUUAAAUUUACCUCCCCUAAUAUAUUCAAAUUAAAUAUAAAAAUUACUUCAAUCGAUAUCUCAACCAUAAAAUCAUAUAAAUAACUAAACAUAAACAAAAAAAAAACCAUGUCUAAUUCAAAUAAAGUCACACAAUUCAAAUUAAAACACACUUUUUUUUUAAUUAUUAAGUAAUCGAGUCGAGUCGGGUUGGGUCGGCUAAUUAUUAAGUAAUCGGAUAGAGUUGAGUCAGAGGUCAGGCUUUUGAUCGGGCUUUUAUUUUUAAGCCUAAGCUUGAAUUUUGACCCUUAACUUCGGGUCAAAACCCAAAAAAUUCGGGCCGGAUCAAUUGGAUCAAAAUUCAGGUCGGAGUUUUUUGACAUCUCUUAAGUGAUUGUUUUGCUAGCCAAGAUUUCAUCAAUUCUAUUCUAGGAGUUGGACUAUAAAAUAGGGACCGAUUAAAUAUUUAUUUUGUAAAUAUGAUUUUGUUGUUCUUAUUUGGAAUUGGUUGUCUUGUUGUGUUGGAAAAUCAUGCAAAGGCAUAUUAUUUACCAUUUUGAUGCGGAGUUUCACAGCAAAGCAUGUGGGUGUUGUGAGUUAUUGACAGUAUUUUUGUUGUUCUUGUCUAAUUCCAUUGCCAUUUCAUUUAAUAUAUCAGGGACCGAAAGCAUAUUAAUGCAAAAAUUGUAGAGAUUAGCGUGAACUGAUUGUAAUAAUAGCAUGCUGUAUUCAUUUAGAUGCGAUUGGUUUAGUGUACAUUACCUUGAUUUCAUUUUUCUUAAAUUUUUGUUGUGUUGUGAAAAAAUGAGUUAAAGAUAAAAACUUUUGACAAGAGCUUGGUCUUAAUUUGAAAUGGUCAAUUUGUAGUAGAAUACAUUUGAUUGUGAUAUGUUCAAUUUUUAAUCUAUGACACAUUACUGAAAUGGUUUUCAUGCUAUGUUGAAUUUGAUUAAUUUUAAAAGUCUGAGCUAUGUAUGUGUAGGAGCAGUUUCUUUAAUUUAAUUAAUAUUUGAUAUAUGUGAUUUUUUUUAAAUUUUGUAGUAACACGAUAUGGAUCCACAUGAUGUUGAUUGGUGAGCAUAAUUAUAGUUUACGUAAGCAACGUCUAAUUCUAAUUUCAUGUUGUGUUUUACAUAAUUUUAUUCAACGAAAAAAUGCUAGUGAUAGGUUGUUUGAGGACUUUAAUGUGUAAGAUAUGAUUACAAAUGAAUGAGAUAUUAGUAGGCCACUUACUACUAUUCAGUGUUGUAAAGAUGAAUGCUACAAAAGAUAAAAUUGCAUUUUAUGCGGCAUGAUUACACAUGUAAUGCAUGAUGCCUAUCAUGUAAUUUUUAUACUUAUUUUGUUUAAAUCAUCUGUGUUAUAAUAUAUAUCUUAAUUAUAGUGUAAAACAAUGAUAAUAUAAAACUUUUUUUUAUUAAUGCUAAUAUUAAAAUUUUAUCAUCAUGUAAUUUUUUAUAAUUAUUUUUGUUUAAAUUAUUUAUGGUAUGUUUGUGUAUGUAUUAGUUGAAUAAUUAUUUUCUAACUACAAGUAUGACUUAAAUAUUUUAUAAAAAUUAUUUUUAAAAAUGGUACUACCGAAUAUUUAUUCAUUAUUUUUAUCAUUUUCAAUUGUGUCUACCAAAGGUAUAUUACUGUUUGUAGUUUUAAAAUACAUGAUGCAGAAAAAUGAUACUAGAUGUGUACUAAAAUUCGAAAUACAGCAACUGCAAAACACUAUUUUCAUUCUCAUUUUUGUUUUCAUAAAAUACAAAUUCGGAAACAAUACUAAAUAGCCCCUAAAUAAUUUGUGCUGUGGUCAUGUUGGUCAGCCAAUAGUAUUUUUCAUCGUGGAAAUUUUGCGGGCUUUCUAAGAUUAUGCUUUGAUGAAAAAGGAGUGUAAGAUACUGAGAUGCGUUUGAUGUCACUCCAAAACGAAAAGUAACUCAGGUGGCGUUUGUUUUUUUAUCUGAAAUCUGAAUAGACCUGAAUUAGUCUGAAUUCUGAAUAGGUCUGAAUGUCUGAAUCUGAAUAAUAUGUUUUACCAUAAAUUUCAAUUUUAUCGUAUAUAAUAUAAGAAAGAAAAGUAAGGAUAUUUUUAUGUGGGGUAAAUGUCUAUGGGUGAGUUUUGGGAUAGACAUGAAAAAUAAAUUAUAAAACAUGGAUAUUUUUGACAUUAGCAAGUAAUUGACUUAAUUCAGAUUUCUCCAUUAAGUAAAAAGCCAAAAAAAUUAGCUUAUUUUAUUAAGUCAAAAUUAUCUAAAAAGUCUCAUUAAGUUAUAAAAACAAACACCUCUAAUUAACUUAAUUAAUUAAGUUAAGUCACUUUAAGUCAUUAAGUUAAAAAACAAACGCCACCUCAAUCUAGAUUUGGUUUAGAGGAGUCUCCAAAUCCAAGACACUAUAAAUGUGAAUGGAUGCCUUCAGAAUUAAACUGAGUGUGUUUAGGUUGAGUUCAGUUCACCUACAAUUCCAUUCGAGAUCAUUAAUAUCACUAAAAAAUGAAUAAUGAUGAAGCAGGGUUUGGAUUCGUUUGGACUUGUUCGGAUUUGGUUUUCCCAUCACUGUUGCCGUAGACUUGCUCUAUUCCAUCACCAAUGAUGUAUUCCUUCCCCGUACUUCGUCACCAUCACCGACCAUGAUAAUGUUGUGAAACUAAGUUUUGGUUUGUUAAGGUAGAGAACAAAGGGAAUAGGGAUCGUGAAAUGUAGGGGGUGUUUCAGUCCAAAAAGAUAUUGUUUGGCUAAUUAUGAUAAAUAUAAUUUUGUGGGGUUAAUUUUAAAAAAUCCAUAAUUUAUUGGCAUAUUUUUAUAAAUUUUCCUAGAUUUCUCCCUAAUAAUUGUGAGGAUGAAUUUUCAAACUAUUGCUCAACAGAUUUACAUAUCGACAAAACAUUGUGAACAAAUAGAAUAUAAUGAAUUUGAAAAAUAAGCAAAUGCUUGCCUAGAACAAGGUAAAGAGAACCCAACCAAAUUGGCAUCUUUAACGAUACUCCUAGUUUAUGAAGCGAGGAAUCAACCGUUACUUUUUUCCUUUUUAGGGAUAAUUGCAGAUUAUCUUUACUAUCUUCAAAUCUCCCAUUAUUUUUAAAAACCUUAGUUUAUCUUAUAUUUUAUUAAGAAGACCAAAAAAAAAAAAAAAUCAUCAACUCAACCUCAUUAUUCUCUUACAUUUUCAAUAAAAAUAUGUUAACUUGAGAUUGUAAACAAUAAAAUAAUAAUUUAAGGAUAGUUAAUUUACAAUGAGAUAGUUUACUUUAUAUAUAUACACUCAUUCUAUAAUGCAGGUGUCAUCCUAAUUUUAUUUUUUUUCAUACGAACACACUUUUAAACCAUAGAAUUUACUAGAGUUAAGAUCUCAACUCUUAAACUGUAUGGUUUUAUAAUUUAUUCAUAAAUAAGUUUAUAAAACCCCAUGAUUUAAGAACAUAUCCGUAUUAGGGCCCCCGCAGAAUGGUUAUAUAUCUAUACACACACACACACACACAAAAUAUGUUCUCAAGCCAACACCAUUUUGCAUUCUUUUAUGUUUUUGUACAAUGAAAAAAUGAUUGGUGAAAAACAAUAUCAAACGCAUCCUUAAUUUCCUUCUAGAUCUCUCUCUAUUUACUAACAUUUGCAUUCUCAGAUCUAUUUGCUUUUCUCCCCUGUUUCGCUCUUGGUAUGCAAAAUGAUUCAAACUGUCAAGAAACUUUGAAAUUUAGAUUUUUUGUACGAACCGAAUCCAAACAUGCAUGUGAGCCAGCUGCAGGUAAUUCAAUGAAGCACGCAGCUAGCUACUUCUUAUUAAUCAAGCCAUGUGUGGCCUUUUAUUGGGUAGUACUCUAAGGGCGCAAGAACAUGUGUUACAAAAGGACUGCUUGUAAUAUUCAAAAUUCCGUAGUUGCAGCCAAAUGUCUUUUUUGAGGCAUUUCAUCAAACAUUUAGUUACUUUCAUCAAACACCUAGUUAAACUAUAUUUCUCUUCUAAAUUAAAAUACCAGAUAUACAUAUUUUUUCAAAUUCAUAAUAAAAAUUUGUACAAAUCGAUUCGAGAUGAUUAGUUUCUGUAAUACAAAGUAAAGAUAAGCUUUGAGAUUGGAGCAAGAGUAAAAGAGGCGAAAACAACCCAUAUAAAUUCGAAUUCAAGCAUUGUCGUGGCUAAAGAAAGCAGCAGUUUUCUUGAGCAUAGACAAAGCAUUUUCGCAAUCUGGAUUGCGCAAAUGGAACGCAUACAACUCUCCUUGAGACUCAACAAUCUCCACAUCGCCUUUCCACCCACUCUCCUUUAACUUCUUACAAUAAAACCAUCCCCUAUAUCUUAGCAUAUCCUCCUCCGCAACAAAAACCAGCAUUCUGGCGCAUCCCUGCUGGCUCGUUAGGUUCGAACCAACUGCUGGAUUAAUCAAUGGAUCAUUGCAGUCAAUCAUGCUAGGAUAAACAAAUUGCCACAUUGCCUCACGCCAUUCUCUUGUUUUAACACCAGUUGUCUAGUCAGGAAUAGGAUCCUUGCCCCAGAAGGAUGGAUGAGUUAAAACAAUCCCAAUCGUCGAGAAUUUCUUGACAAUGUCUUACUCCCAUGUGGUGAGCUAUAUUAGCGCCAGAACUGUCACCAGCGAAAAACACUCUCUGAAAGUCAGCAUAAUGGUUAAGCCAAUCUUCCGGGCCAUCCCCAUCAACAUGGGAAGCAACCCAUUUGAUUGCAGUCCAUGAAUCGUCGUGAGCACAGGGGACCGGAUUCUUCGGGGCUCUCCGAUAAUCAACCGAGACUGCUAUGAUGUUAGCUUCAGAAACUAAGUUGUUGAGGUAAUUAUUGUAAGUAGAAGAACAGGCAGUGUGGACGCAGAAGCCUCCACCGUGAAAAUAAACCACAAGAGGAAGUUUUUGGUUUUGAUCUUUUGUGUUUUUCGGAAUGUAAAGACGAGCGGAUAGAGUAUUUUCAGGUAAAUACAAAACGUCUCUGGAAUCAACGUUUGUUUUUGGAUCAAAUGAUGGAGGAACGAUGUCAUUGCCCACAAGCCUCUCUAUUGUGCCAUCUUUGUAUAUUAUCAUCAUAGGAGAGAAAUCGUGGGCGAUUUCUGAUAAUGGCUCUGUGGAACCCAUUGAAGCAGAAAAUGUCGGCAGAGCGCCGGCAAGCCUGAAUUAGCCUUUCUAAUAAAAUAUUACUAGCAACAGCCAACAAAGAUCUUGCUCAAGUUAGGUCUCAUAUACGCGUCAAUGAUAUUACUAGGCUGCUGACAGGGCACAGAUGAGCUAGCAGCUUAGUGUGGUUACCAACUGAACAGAAUUGAAACAGUUGUUUCUGAGAAAUUUUCUUGCAACUUAGAGAGAGUUAGCCAAGAUUGUAAACAUGGGAUUUGUUCUUUGCAGAGUGCUGAGUGUAAUCUUUUAAUCGGCAUCUGUUAAUGAUGCUUGCCGUGGUUGUUUUCUCUUGCAGAUAUAAGCAAGCUUGUCAAGCCACAUAAAUUGCUCUUGUGAUGUUCUUGAUUUGAUUUUGCAUGUCCCUAUGAUCUCAUUGAUUAAUCUUUAGAUUUAGAUCCUGAAUUCUUUCUUGAUCUCUUCUUGAUUUGAUAAUCACAUUGAAUUGGAUCCAACAGUAACAAUGGCUCCUACAAUUAAACUCUAUUCAUUUUCUUUCCUUAUUGUUCUUAAGGUAAGGUACACAAUAUCACUUGUAAAUUAUACACCCAUCGAUGGAGUAUUUGAAUGUUCUUAUAUAUACAUCUAUGAAAUUUCUGAUAAAAGAAAUGAUGUCCAUAAUGUGAAACCGAAGAGAAAUAUGAUGCUGAACAACAUUAAAUUUAAGAGUACACAGAUUACUAAGUUCCUGGUGAUCACAUCAGAAAACAUUAUCUUGAUUUAGGAAUGAAGCUAAUUUAUCCAUCAAGGCCACAGCCUUUUCAGAAUCUGGAUUGAACAAAUGAAACACAUGAUCCUCUCCUUCUGUCUCCACAAUCUCAAUUUCUCCAGCCCACCCACAAUUUUUCAAAGUCUCAUAAUAAAGCAAUCCCCUAUCUCUCAAAUUAUCCUUCUCGGCAACACAAACGAGAACCCUGGGGCACCUCAGGCUCAUUAGCCUAGAGUCAGCAGCUGGGUUUAUUCUCACAUCAUUGUACCCACUUGUAUUUGGACAUACAAAUACCCAACACUUAUCAACAACUUCAUCAUUUCUCCCAAAAUAUGGCUGAACCAAACAAAUUCCUGCCAGUUGUAUCCCAUUUAAGUCUUCAAAACUCGCUUGAACGGCCAUGUUGUGCACAAUAUUGCCACCAGCACUGUCACCGGCGAGAAAAACACGAGCAAAAUCAGCAUGAUCGUUUAACCAAGCUUCAUAGCCAUGACCAUUGAUAUUAAAAUGAUAAGCUACCCAAGUGAGGACAGCCCAUGAGUCUUCAUAAGCAGCAGGGACCAAGUGUUCAGGGGCUAAUCUGUAAUCAACUGAGACUACAAUAACAUUUGCUUUGGCCGAAAGAGAGCCUACAUAGUUGUGGUACGUGGAACAAAAUGGUGAGCCCAUAAAGAAGCCCCCGCCGUGAUAAUAGACGAGGAGAGGGAGCUUUUGGUUUGUUUUAAUGGCGGCUGAAGGGAUGAAGAUUCUUGCUGAUACGCCUUUCUCUGGCACAAUAACUACAUCUUUGGAGAAGACAGCAUUUGAGGAAUCCAUUGAUGCUGGAACUUUAUCGCUCCCAAAGAAUCUCUCCACAUGCCCAUCUCUGUAUGCACGAAAAUAUGGAAGAAACUCAUGUGCAAUUGCUCUUGUUUUUGAAUCCAUUAUUGCUUGUUGCAUAUUAUUAAUUCUAGUGAUGAUGAUUAAAUAACGAGAGUAACAGUAGUAAGAUAUAUUGCCAGUAAUCGUUUCUUUGGUUUGCGAGCAAGAUUAAAGUGUGGUCAUUGGUUUCUUUUUUUUCCUCCGAGACAAAAAUGGGGCUAAAGUUUGGUCGUUCUUUGUAUUAAGAUAGUGGAAUAAAAAAGGAUAAAUUUCCAGCUAUCCCAUCAAUUCAUUUCCUACAUAUCGCAAUUUUACCCCAUAAAAAACAUCUUUUUUUUUUUUUUUAAUGAAAAAAAGGGAAAGUUUCGUGGUGCUUUCUCAUGUAGUUGUUCAAAAAGGUUUGAUACAAAACAUUUUGUUUUGUUUUUUAAUAAAAAAGAAAAUAUAAAACCAACUAAGUGUCGUUCGUAUAAUUGAAUAUCAUGAACAAGUUAAAAUCCCAUGGCUAUAGUUCAUGUGGGAUUUAAAGUUCCUCUCAAUACACAAAUGAACAAUAAGACCUCGUAGAUAGAACUCACUUUUAAAAAUUGGUUUAUAAAAGAAUUGAGUUCGCGAGUUUUAUAUAUUCAUUUAAAUUGUCAUAUUUUUUAGUUCAUGUACGCCAUGCGGAACAUAAGAUCCUAACAUAUAUCUUAUCGUAUUGAAAAAAUAACAUCCACAUAUACCAUAUUCUACUAGUGAAUUUCGUCUGUUAGGAUGGAAAAUAUUUAUGUUAUAUAAGUCAAACAAACAAAAAAAUUGAUGCACUUUAUCUACUAAGUGAUUUUAUUUUAUUUAUGUUAUAUAAAUAAAAUAUUAAUUUUAUUUUGCCAAACACCUUACCGAAAUAGUUGUAAAGAUGAUUAUUUCGAAAUCUAUUUUAGAAUUUGAUUUUUUCAAAAGCUAAAGCAAUCCCCAACUACCUUAAAGAUUAAAGUAGUAUGAAGCUCUUAUCUUCUUUUGAAUGGGUGGAAUUUAAUAAUAAAAGUGUAGUAAUCGGGUUGAAGGGAAUUCCAAAAGUGGGUUGGUAAUAGAGGCUAAAGUAUGGAAAGCCACCCCCAACGUUUUUCCUGAGAAAUUUUAUUACCGUGUCCGGUUGUGAGUUUCGUGACAAUUUCUCAUUUGAUUUUUCUUUGACAUAAUUUGUGAUGGGUCACGUCGUCAUGCUGAGCGGAAAGUGAUUUUUUUAAUUAUGGAAAUAAUUGGUCCUCAGAAUUAUGUAGUCUGUAUUCAGGUUUAAGAACCAGGCCUUUCUGCAACGAACCAAUAAUCAGAUCCAAUAGCCCAUUUAGAAUCAUUUUUAUAUCUUAUAACUAAAAACAUAAAAGGGUAAUUUUUAGGGACCUCCCCUGAGGUUUGGCGUAUUGACAGUCUCAUAGAAAGUAUUCAUAUAAUUACAAGGAUCCCCCCCGACGUUAGUAUACAGUUAACUUGACUGUAAGUGGACUGACAAAAAGUCUAAAAUACCCUUGGCUACAAAAAUAUUAAAUGAGUGUAACAAUUUGGUUGUUGAUAUGAAUAUCUGCAAAUGGACUCUCUUCCCGAUGAGGGAUUCUUUUCUCCUCCACUUUCUUGCUCUGUCUUUGCCUCUUAUUCUUAUUCUUCUUCUUCUUCUUCGCCCCAAAACCUACUCGCUAAUGAAGAUGAUCUGUACCGUGCAGAUCUACAUCUUGUUAAUAAAAAAACAUUUUUCAGUGGUGUUGAUGCAGGAGAAACAAAAACUUUGGCAGCUUCCUCUCAUUCUUCUUCUUCGUCAUGUUCAGUUUCUCGAACAAAAGAUUCACUUUUGUUGCCAAAUUUUGAAUCUUUCUCCAAAGAAUAUUCUAUAAUUUUGAUUUUUCUUCGAAAGCUACCACGAAAGAGCAAUACCCAUUUGCACCAAACAGGUUUUAAAGACCUGGGCUUGAGUCUUUUCCCCUUAAAACGGCGACAAAAGCAGCCGCUUUUAUCAUUUUUACCCAUCCACUUACACCGCCGUUUAGUCGAGCCUCUGGUUCUUUUUCUGGGUUGUUGUUGUUUCGACGAUUGCUUGACCCGUACUUGGCCCAUGCAUGUGACUUUCGGCGACGUGGGUUCCUGCGUUUCAAUGGCGGCACUCUUCUUUCUUUGCACAAACAUUGGACUUGAACGUGACCUGCAUGAAUACUUUCUAUGAGACUGUCAAUACGCCAAACCUCAGGGGAGGUCCUUGAAAAUUACCCAAACAUAAAAAUGAUGAUUGUUAUAAUAUUUAAAAAAAAAAACCUUUUUCAUAGUUAAAAAUGUUUUCUUUCCAAUCCACUUUAACUACUUGACUUAAUUGUGCAUGUAUUGUAUUAUGGAAAUAAUACACAAAAGAUUUGUGAGAUGGGAUUGAAUGUGGCAUCUCAAAUUUUUUUUUUUUUUUUUACCUAUGUAUCAUUAUCGAAUUCUUCAUCAUAUCUCCAAACGAAUUUACUGAGUAAAAUUUUCUUAAAUUUGCAUGCGAUAUGGCAUCCAGUGCACCAAUUAUAAUUUUAUAGCUAGUUUUAUCCGCUUUUAGUGCAUGUAUUAAUGGAAAAACUCAUAAACAUAGAACACAAAAUCCUUGAAGCUCAUGCAAAACACGAGUUUAGAAGAGUGAGAUCUAAUAGACCAAACCUCACUUGUAUAUAGUGUGAGAAUACGAACCUUCUUAUGUAUAAAAGCUAAAAGAGUUGUUUCGUUAUAUACGUUUAACAUAAAAUGCAUUGAGGGCUAGUUUAGAAUUGCAGGUGUUGAUUAAAAUAAAUUGUUUUUACUGUGCAAAUUUAAUAAAUUGUUAAUUAAAAAAAAUAAUAAACUACUGAUUGAAAAAGCAACUUGAUAUUUAGUAAAUUGUGUUGUUGUGAUUACUAUGAAUUUGAAAAUCCGUGUAUAUGCGUUUAGUAAAUUUAAUAAACCAAACCUCACUUGUAUAUAGAGUGAGAAUACAGACCUUCUUAUGUAUAGACUAAAAGAGCUGUUUCGUUACAUAAAUUUAACAUAAAAUAUAUUAAGGCUAGGGGUGGGAUUGCAGGGGCUGCGUGAAAAGUGUUAAAAAAAUAAAAUAAUAUAAUAUAGCAAUUUAUUGACAUCAUUUAAAAAUAAUAUACUUUUAAAAAUGAAAAUAUGUUAGUUUAUUCAUCUUUUAAUAAAUUUAUUCAUAGUCUAUGAAAUAAUCUAGUCAAAUAAGAUUUAGAUAUACACCAAAAAAGAUAAACAAACAUAAAAAAAAAUCUCUUAAACUUCAAUUUGAUGUCUUUCUAAUAAAUAAGAAUUAUUUAUUAUUGACUUCUAAAAUUAAUUAUUUCUUGUCCCUUAGGUGUAGCUCGACUGACUGUGAAUGUACAUGUGCCCACUAGUUCAAGUUAGAAUAUAAGUAAAUGCUCGUGGUUAAUGGAUAGGGUUUAUCAUCCCACAAACAAUAAAAAGGAAAUAAAAUAUUAUUUGAGAAAUUAAAGAAACAAACUAAAUAAUGAGUUAAUUUUGUCAAGAAUUGUAAAAACAAUAAAUUUAAAAACAAACAGAAAAAUGUAUUUUUGAAUGGAAUAUUAAAUUAGGGAAGAGAAUUAUGAUUUUUACUGCCUAUGAGGAAAGAUAAAUUGUAUUAAAUAUAAUAAAUUUAUAGAAUUUUAGAGAUAUUAAUGACUAAACCAUUUACAAUAAAAGUAGGAUAUAAAAGACUAAAUAGAUUGAGAAUACUAAUUAAUUUAGGAAUGUCUUUCAACUUAUAUUAUAAUUUAAUAUGAAACGACCCGCCCCGAAUCCCCUCCUAGGCGAGUCUAUCUAGUCUUAUCAAAACGGACUUGAUAAAAAUUCUAUUAGUAAAGAUUCUGCCGAAAAUUCGACAGAGUCUCAUUUAUAUAUAUAACACUCCCAAUAUACAAAUAUGAAUAUAAAACUCUCAAUACAAUUUAAUAUACAACAAACUCCAGUGAUCAACAUCCUCAACUAAAAUGCUGAGUUUUAUAUCUCUAGAGUCUCAAAAGAUAAUAUUAUAACUAAUAUUAAUAUCUCAAUUUAUUCUUAAUCCCAAAAGAAUAAUAUAACAAAAUUAUACAAUCCCAACAGGACGAGAUAACCAAGAUGUCCUAACAAAAAUAUUUAUAUCUUCUGACACCAUCACGUGGCCAAGACUCAAAAUACAUUUACAGUCGCUGGGUCGUUCUGGUAUACCUGCAACCUCCUGGUGGGGGGAAAAUAUAAUAAAAACGAGGUGAGUUUAAAACUCAGUGAGAUCAGUGAGUGGAUAGUAGUUUUGAAAAUUAAUUCUUACUUUAAAAGAAAUAAUCAUAUCAUUUCCAAACACGAUUUCAUUAAACCAUAAACGAGAAACCAGUAAUAAAUCAUUAAACAUUUAAAUCAGAUUACUAACUAUGGAAAUCAUAUCACAAUAUCAUAUAGAAUUCACAAAUCUAAAAAUCAUCACCAAACAAGUACCCAGGGAAAUAAUCUCGUCAUAUCCAGAACUCAACGGACGGGCAAUGACGUACUAUUUGGGUAACGUCACGCCCCGGAGCUACACGGAUAGACAGGGAAAUAUCAUCUCAUAUCUCAUCAUAUAUGUGCAUGCAUAAUCUAGUCCCCAAGGGACAAAAGCGCCCAAGCACACGGCCCAAAGCCUCUGUGUGUACUCAGACGGGCCCCAAAUGUCUAUAUCUCAUCUGUAUCAUAUGUAUCUCAAUAUAUGUUUGUAUCUCAUAUAUGUAUCUCUGUAAUCAUCAUACCGCAUGCAUAUGCCCCCAAAAGGCAAAAGCGCCCAAACACACGGCCCAAAGCCUCUAUGUGAGUUUAGACGGGCCUCAAAGGCCUCUCAUCUCGUAUGUAUCACUGUAUCUGGAGGGAAGUGUAUUGUCUAAUGAUUUCAAAAACAAUCAUUAUACUCAUAUUCACAUACCUCUUAACCAUAUUUUAAAUCAUACCACAUUUGAAUCCACUUUUCUUAUUUUUAAAAUACUAUGAUGCUUAUUCAAAGUCGAUAUGCAAAAUCAUUAACCAAACAUUUUAAUAAUAUACCAAUGCGUGAAUAAAAUCCAGUUCGAGGAAAUCAUUAAAUCUGAACAUUUAAAAUACUUAUUUCGCAAACAUGCUUUACUAUCAUAAUUAACUAUGAAAAUAGGUUUUGUAUAUUCCACUCAUAAUGACGGUGUUCACGGUCGGUUAUCGUCCAUGUCCGCGGACCGAUUCUCGCUCGCGGAUCCUCCUAAAUCAAGGAAACGACAUAAUUAUUUUUCGUAAAUCAGAAUUAUGACUAAAUUUUAUGCAAUAAACUCGAAACGAAUAUCUAUCCAUAAUUGACAACUCCCGUGUCCAUAAAAUUACUAAAAUGCCCUUGAGUCCGUAGAUCAUUAACAUGCUCUGAAAUCGUAAAUCACAGAAUUACCAUCGGAAUCGUAAUUACACCCAAUCCUCAAUUCUAGGAAUUACUAAAAUAUCCACAGGCUCAGAAAUUACAAAAUUACCCUCAUAGUGUGAAAUUACCAAAAUGCUCUUGCCGGUCAACGGUCAACGGUCAUCGGAAUUUGGUCAACGCUGGCUAGGAAGCUCAAAUCUGAAAGUUCCAAUCACGCUGAGUUCAAUGGUACCGACGGUGAGCUCCAACGCGCGGCAACGACACUGGAAUCUAGCUCGGCAGCCGUGAAUUCCAACAAUCGACCGGAGGCAAAACAAUGACUCUCAGUGCCUAUGGAUGGUCGAAAAUGGAAGAGGGAGUCAUGAGGAACAAAAUCCAACCGGUGGUGUCACCCAAAACCGGCGAAAAUCCCGGCGAAGCAAAGUGAAACAGUCGCGGGUUUCAAGCUUCGAUCGCCGGCGUUCUGGUUGGUUUUCGGCAGCGAGGAUGACAAGGGAAUGACGGUCGGCUUCUAAGCUUCAGAUUGGUACCAAGCUCGGCCGAAACGGUGGCCGGAAAUGGGAGUUAUGGCCGGGUUAAGGUCGCGGGUUCCGGGUCGGGUUUUCGAGUAGGGUUGAUGGCUUCUCUCUCUCACUCUCUCACACACAUGUGGCUUCUGUUUUUGUUCUUUUUUUUCCAGCUUCUUCUUUUGUUUAUUAAUAAAAUCCUUAACCGCCAAAAUCCUUAACCACCUCAUUUUAUUUUUAAUUCACAUAUGUUACAUAAUACCUAAUAUUUGGAUAUUAUUAUUAUUUUUUAAUUUCUUAGAAGUGUCGCACCCUUGCUACUCAUCUCUAUGCUAAUCCGUCCAUGACUAGGGCCAUAACUUUCCAAAAUCAUACCAUUAAGGGUGCGUUUGAGAUUGAAAUUGGAUAGUUAUAACUUAAAAGUUACAACACUAAAGUGUUUGGUAAACAUUAGCUGCUGUAACUUAGAAAGUAUGUUGAUAUGAUUUUUCACUUGUAUAAUAGAAAAUCUAUAAUAUUUUUAAUAAUUUUAUCAAAAUUAUUUUUAAAAAUUUAUAUUUACUAUAUAUUACUAACUUUUAUGUCAUAGUUACAAUUUUUUUUUACUGCAGAUACAGCUUAAAAGGUAUAGCACAUCAAUCACAAACGCACCCUAAAUAUGGGUGUAUACGCUCAGGUGACACAUUAACAUAAUAAACUAGUAGUCAUUAUAUAUCAAAUAAACUUACAAACACUCCUCCUGUAUUUGUUUGUUUAGUCUAAUUUUUUAAAUAAAUCUUAUCUAAUUAGAGCUUUUGCUUUUAGACUAGUAGUGAUUAUAUAUCAAAUAAACUUAUAAAUACCCCUCCUAUAUUUGUUUCUUUAAUAUAAUUUUUUAAAUAGAGUUUAUCUAAUUAGAAAUUUUCUUAGAAGAGUUUUUGUAAAUAAAACUUAUUUGUUUAGUAUAUUUUUAUUUAUAAAAUUAAAUAAUAAGUUAUACCAAACAGAUAUUAUAUUUAACUUGGUCACUACAAUCCGAUUUAAUUACAAAAUAUUCUAAUGAUUAUUACUGUCCACCAAAUAUGAGAAACAAAAUUCUCUUCUUAUAAAAAUAUAUCUCAAUAUGUCUUAAUUGCAUCUUAAAUAUUUAAUACUCUCUUUGAAAAAUUUUGGCCUUUUCUGGCUACCUAUCUCGAUUCUUCAAAAAAAAAAAAAAACUAAAUUUCAUUUCUCAUAUUGACAAAAACAAAUGAUGGCUCUCCACGACAAGCAAACUCAAGUAAUUGACACCGAUGGGAAAAUAAAAAUAAAAAAUCAAUUGCCCACAUAAUUUUAGUUUAUUUUUUAUCCAAGUUUUUAAGGGCAGAAAUUAAACUUACUUGCCGCUCACACAAGCACUCAACUUCAGUUGAUUGAUGGAUUGAUAUUUUUCCCUCUUUUCCAUUCCCAUGCCUUUCAAUUCACUUGAUCGAAAAAAACCCCCCACAAAACCCAACCAAUAGAAAACUGCCACAUCACGAAAUCUCAAACGCUUCAGCGCUCUAUAUCGCUUCGGGCUCUCUCUCCGUAGUACCUAUCCUUCUUCUAACAAUGGAGCGAGCCGCGUUGCUUCGUUCUCUCUCUUGUACUUCCCUCGCUUCCAACAGAUUCUACUUUCGCUCUUUCGUACCUCGCGCCAAAUUUUCAUCAUCAUCAGUUGCUGUUGCGAGGAGAAAUCACCACCGUCUGAUCAACAACCUCACCAGGCGCUCCCUCCUCCGCGGCGACAGCAGAUUACACCUCUCCUUAUCGUCUUACUCUCUUCAAUUCAACAAACACUUCUCCUCUCUCUCUCCUCGCGCCGUCGCCUCUCCUUCCACUCCCUCAUCUCCAGGUGCAAAAUUUGUCGUUUCACUCUUUCUAAAUUUCAUCUCUUUUCCCGUUAAUUUAAUUAAUCUCCUACGUUUAAUUAAGCAGUAAUUUUAUUGGUUCAUUGAAUGAUUACCGGCAAAAAAAAAAUAAUACAAUUAUUUUCAAUUCUUGUAAAUUUGUGUUUGUUAAUCGUUAGAAAUGAUCUAUUAUUUGGAAAAAAAAAAUUGAAACUCCUCUUUUACGUUGUUGUUAUUG
rnacentral:lncRNA from 1 species